UUUUUUUUUUUUUUUUUUUUGGGUGCCAAUAUUCACAAAAUGUUAAGAAAAUGAAGCAUUUCCGAGAAAGCAGAUGAAUUUGGAAGGAAAGCAAGAAGCCAUUAUUAAUGCUCAAAAUGGUGAACAUCAAUAGAAUUGAUUGGAAAAUGUUGUCAAAAAUGGGAUACCAAUCAGGUAGUAACAUCCCAAGUUAACAUAAGCAAUAAAAGCUUGCCAUCCGAACCCAACAGCUACUCCUGGUGUCGUUUAAUAUAGGGAAAAUAUCCACCGUCCACCUGAUUUUGUCCAUUUUUUUAAAAAUACACAAAUCUUAAUUUUUUUAGCUGCGCUCCACCUGAACUUAUAAUUUUUUUCACAUUUCCACCUCCGUUUGCAAACCGUCAAGACGUUGCUGACGUCAUAAGGCUAAAAUGAUAAUUUCACUUGGGCUUAAAAAACGACGUCGUUUAAGAUCUGUAAUAAGCAAAAAAAAAAAUUAUUUCAGUUUCAAGAACCCAAACAAAAGCUUUGAUAAACUCGAAGCUCAAAGCUUAAUUAUUCUCUGGUCUCUACUCACCACAUUCGCAUUCAUGGCUGCACAAGACACACAAAUUGAGAGCGAAAAUAAAGACUCAAAAGAACCCAAAAACCUGUUCGCACACUUUACAAACUUAUUAUUUUCUGCUCCAAUAUUUAAUAAUAAGCAAGAGAGAAAUAAAAGUGAAGGUGAAGAAAGAGAAGCUGCAGAAGCAAGCAAGAAACGAGAGGUGGUGAAAUUUCCGCUUUUAAAAAAAUAAACAAAGAAAGAAAGAAAAAGCAAAGGCAAAGCCAAAAUCUUCUACUCUGAAAGUCAUCGACCGUAGUCAUGGCGGAAAACACAGAAAUCGCUUCCAGUCCCAGAAAACAAGAAAACAAAAGCAUACUCUCGCGGUUGCCGAAAUUCCAACUCAAUCUCCCUUUCUUCUUUAAUCAACAACCUAAGAAAGCAGAAGAAACUGUUGUUUCUAAAGGGACUGCCAAAACGUCAACGGUUAGUGAAGCCGAUGAAGGUAUGCUAGUAGUGUGAAGCCGAGCUUGGCUAGGUUUCCGGACGCCACGCGUCCGAUUCUUUCGCCGCAGAUUGAGCUCGAGGCCGAAGAGCCCGCCAGGCGGACUUCCAAUCCUGUCCUUCUCUGGCAGGUUCGCUUUCUUCCGUCUGUUCCUGUUUGGCUCCCGAGAAAAUGUGGGGUCCUUUUGUGUUGCGAGAUUGCGAGAUUGCGAGAUUGCGAGAUUGCGAGAUUUUAUAAUAUUUGUUUAAAAAAUAAAAUUUUUGAAAGGAUUUAAAGAUUUUCAGUUUUUAUUUAGGGCUACAAUACUCACAAAGCUAAUAUUUUGACGUUUAUUUAGGGUAAAUAUGUAAUUUUUUAUUUUUGGGAUUAAAAAGUAAUUUGGACAAAAUUCCGUUAGUUUUAUUGACGGUUUGCAGACGGAGGUGGAAAUGUGAAAAAAAUUAUAAGUUCAGGUGGAGCGCAGCUAAAAAAAUUAUGAUUUGUGUAUUUUUAAAAAAGUGGACAAAAUCAAGUAGACGGUAGAUAUUUUCCCUUUAAUAUAUCACAUCAAUUGCAGUAGCGUUAAUUAUUAAUGAUUUGAAUUUUGAAGCCACAACAAAUUAAUUAUGGGGAAAUGGAGAGGAAGAGCUGGAGCUAUGUAAUAAAUAUAAUAUGGCAACAGCUAGCAAUAAAAACGACGUUUAUCGUCUAAUUAUUUAGUACUUCUCAAUUAUUGAUUGACAUUAUAAUCAAAGGCCGACUGUUAUUAAAUUUUUUCACUAAAGUAAUUAAGGUAGCUCAUAUUUUUCAAUUAAUUAAAAGCAAUUAUAUUCCUAACGUAAAAUAAUCAUCGAGAGCAAAUAAUCAGUAGAAAAAUUAACGCUUGAAAGAGUUUGAUGCUUUUUAAAAUAUCAAUGGAGUUUGUAUUUAUUUAAUCAAAGAACAGGAACGUGGGUCUUUUUCCCCCACUAAUAACUGUAGAAAAGCAACAUUUAUUAAAGCUUGAGUUGACGUACAUACACUAAUGAACUCAUUUGCCUGUUUGUUGUGUUGUGUGGCGGUGUAUGCGAGCACGUGUUGUGAAAAUUUUAAUAUAUUUGUAAGUGUAUGAAUUUAGAGAUAAAAUAGUGAUAACGAGGUCGAUCCUACAAGGAUUAUUAUAAAUUAAAAAAUUUAAUUUAAAUUUAAAAUUAAUAUUAAUUCUAACCUAGUUGACCAAAUUAAGUUUCUAAGAAAAUUAAACCAAUUAAACUAAGGAAGCAAUUAAAAUAAAGGAGAAUUCAAUCAAAUAAAAAUUACUAAAGUUUUAAAAUCCACCACUAUUCAACUAGUAAUUACUGUAGAUUUUCUUCUUUGUCUCGGGUUUUCCUCCUCUGGCGGCUCCUCUCUCCAAAAGCCAAAACUCCCUUUUAAUAAUCUUUAAAAUGAGCCCCACCUCUUAAAUGCUAAAGCCAAAAGGCUUGGCCUUUUACUUGAUUUGCUCUCACACACGUCCUGGCCACUUAUAAUUGCUAAAGGACUCAUUUUUCCAAUUAUAAAAGUCAAGUGUGUGUCCCUUCUUAAAGCUAAAUCAAUUUCUCUCCUUUGUCCGCAUGUACAUGAUGAAUUAACUUGUUGAAUUCAGUUCCUUGGCUUGAUUUCCGCAUGCAUGUAUGUCUAAUUGCUUCCAAAAAUCAAUUAAUCUUUAAUGCUUACAAAUUAAAUUCCUUUAUGCUCUUUUUAUCCAUAAUCUCCAAUUAAUUUCCUAUUCAAUAAAAUAAUUUAAUUAAUUAAAAAUAAAAAUAACUAACAAUUAAAUAAUUAAAGAUAAAAUAUGUAUAUAAAUUAUGCUCAUCAGCACGUCGCCGUCUUGUGCAAAGCUAAAUAUCAACAACGUAAAUACUACCUUAUACAGCAAUGCGCGCGCUUUAAAUAAUUGACUAUUACAUAGUAAAUAGUAAAUAAACAUAUAAUUGGUUCCUGCAUCUUCAAUUCUGUGUCUUAUUAUUGACGUUAUUUGAUAAAAUGCAAUGCUGUGAAUAUUUACCUGUAUUACUAUCAUGGUUGGUUAAAAAAAAAAAAGGGUUAGGUGAGCGAGAAAGGAGAUGAUAAGCUAGGAGAAUAAGAAUUACCUGACAGAACAGGCUGGACGCCGUUGAGAAUUACGGAGAAAGCGAGAAAAGGGCUGAGUUCAGCAACGGAGUCGGCGACGGUGGAGCCGCCAGUGAAGGCAUAGCUCAAGACAUUGCGCAGUAUGAGGACAAGAAUGGCCAGAAUCACAGAGAGUGCGAGUGAAAUUGAAGUUACCACGAUCACUGAGAACUUACACGAUUUUGGAUGUGCUGCACCCAACUCAAUGCCCACCCUAACACUGUACGUACGUGUGUAUUUCACCAAUUCAGCGCAAAUAAUUGUAACUAAUUAGAGGAAAACACUAAUAAAUUACGUACCUUGCUGCCGCAUUGAAACCCACAGCAAUCAUGAACACCCAUCCAGCAAUCGUCAUGCUGCAUUAGUGGACACAUGUAAUAGCAUGCGGUUGCAUUGAAUUACUUUGGCAACAUGAUGCCGAUGAGCAUAUUAAAGAGAUUAAACAGACAAAUAAUUCGUAUCUUACCAGAUGGAGAGAGAGUCGAGCACAAUUUCAGCAUUAUCGAGCAACCCAGCAAUCAAAACAAUGAUCUGAUAGUACCAAAUCUCGAGGCACAACAUUACAGCCGAUGCUGUUGACAAUUUCAGUAAGUCCCACAGCCCAGAAAACGCCUGUAAGCUAAACCCAGUCCAUGUCUUUUUGCACCUUUCACUCAACAAAAUGUACACGAAUUGUGCCGCCACUAUAAUCCACCACGACAAACUUAACACCAACGAUGCCCCUAGAAGUCCCCAGCCUAGCUUGAAAAUCGCAACCCAACUUAAGAGCACAUGCACCACAAGUGUUGCCGCUGAGAUGUAUGCACUUGGCGAGAUUAUGCUUUGUGCUUGUGGGAGCUUUUGUAUGGGGAAAUUGACGGCGUAGGCAAAUAUCUGUGGGAUUAGACCGAAAACGAAGAUUGCUGCUGCUGAUGCAAUGGCACUUGAUUCCCCUAGCAGGAGCAAGAUUUGUUUUGAGAAUAUGUAGAUGACCAUGAGUGGUAUCCCAGUUGCCGUGAGUAUGACUGCCGAUCUUUGAAGAUAAACGCCUAGCAUGUCGUACUUCUGUGCCCCGUAAGCUUGGCCACAUAAAGUUUCAGUAGCGCUUCCCAUUCCCAACUGUGUAAAAAUAAUAUUUUAAUUGUAAUCGGACAGUAAUUAUAUAUACACACACACAUAUAUAUACUAUUACGUACCAUAAGGCCAUAGGCGAAAACUUGGAUGCCAGUGUUGCCAAGAGAGACGGCAGCGAGCUCAAGAUUGCCAAGAUGGCCGCAAAAGAUCUGAGUGGACAUGGCGACAAGGUUAUUGAGCAUGUAAACCAAGAUUGCUGGGGCUGCUAGGCGGAAGAGGCUCUUGAGUUCGAUCCAUGUUGCUUUCUUGAUUCUCUGAAAGAAUGACAAGCUGGUAAGUUCCUUCACUCUUGUGAGUCUUGUCUCUCAACUCUCAACACACACGCAGCUACCUCCCCGUUAAUCAUAUAUAUAUAUAUAUAUAUAUAUAAAUAGGCGAUAAUAUAUAAUAUGGCAUCUGCCACUUAACUUUCAAAGACAUACAUAGAAAGUUAGGCAAACACAAUAUGAAUAUAUGGUCAAACGGGGAAAACUUCAUUUCAUCACAUACUGAUCGAUAAGACAAAAGUAUUAGAUUCUAUAUAUAUAUAUAUAUAUAUAUAUAUAUAUAUAUAAAAGAUCAUCGUGUGUUGUAUCACCAUUAAAACAUUGUUGUCAACAAGAAUUCAGAUUAAGUCCAUUAAUUAAAUAUACAUACACACAUACCAGUUACUCUUUCUUAGUGUACACUUGUCGACACGAAUUCAAAGUCCAUCAAAUAUCUUAAUGCUUUCAAUUCUGAGACAUUAAUUGGGGAAUGUUUAAAAGAAAGAAAACAUUGAUAAGCAGGAGAAUCGUGCAUGUGGUACAUUUACAAUAAUUUUAAAAUAAUUAGCCACACCACAAAUAAUAUUGCAGUUGCAGGUGCCAAAUAUGGAGGCACUUCCCCUUCUCCUAUGACGAUGAUCAAUGCUUUUGGAAUUUGCAUUUGUUGACUGUUGUUAGCUAGUUUAAUUAUUUAGGCAGGUGUGUGUAUUGUUCAUUAAUAGGCUACCUUUAGAUCUGACGCAUUUAUUUACAUCUCAUUCUAGAUAAGUAUUGGUGGCAUAUAUAUAACACAAUAAUAAUUCCGAAAAUCUGUUCUCGCAAUAUAAUACAUAUGGCUCUAACAACAUUCAAAAUUUGCAAUAAGUGGAUCCGAUGCUAUAAUCUACUUAUUUUUGCUUCCAUCCCACACACCACUUGGAAUUGACACCUUGACGGAUCUAGCCAACGUAGAUGCUGGCUGCUGAAAUUUGAAAAUAUUAAUUUGUAAUUCAUACUAAUUCUGAUAACACCCACUUUAAUUCCAGGAAUAUUUAUUAAACCUUUACAUGAAUUAUUUGCGUUUUUAUUUCUUAACAAAUGUCUUAUAUAUAACAUGAUCAAGAUCCAUGUUCUCCCUCAAUUGAGUCAAUUCUAGUUUCUAAUCGGACAUCUAUUUUACUAAAACGACCAUUUUAUCAUACAAAGUUUUUGAAAAUUAAAAAAAAAAAUUGUAAUUACAAUAAUACUGACGAAUUUAAUAAAAUAAAUAAAUUCAAAAAUCCAAAAUGUUUAUUCUUAAAAUUAUAAUUUUUAAACGAUUAUUUUUGUAAUUAUAAUUUUUUAUUCUUUUGGAAACAAUGAAAGUUGUUUGAUAAUUGCGAUUGUAUGAUUGAGAUUAAAAAAGCAAAAAAAAAAUAUUUGAGAUGAGUAUUACAUGUUUUUUAGAUCAAAAGGAUUGAAAAAUCAAUAACAAUUAUUAUCAAUUAAUUAAAAUAGUAUCCCAAACCUAAUUUUUCAGUAAUAUUUAUCAAUUAAUUAAAUGAUAAUUAUAAUUUUUUAAUUUUUAAAAAUUUUGUAAGAUAAAUUGAUCUUUUAAUUCAUUUAUGAUAAAAUAACUAUUUUAUUUAAAUUAUAGUGACAAAGUAACUAAUUAAUAUAAAUUUAAAAAUAGUGUAAAAAAUAUGUCAAAAUUUAAUGAUAAUUAAAUAUAUAUAUAUAUAUAUAUAUAUAUAUAUAUAUAUAUAUAUAUAUAUAAUAAAAUAAAAUAGAGGUGGUGCAGAAAUAAUUUUUUAUUUAAUAAUCCUCAUGGGACUUGAUUAUAGGGUUGCUGAAAUGCUAGUUGGUUUGGAAUUUUAAGUCGGCUUAGUCCUUCCAAAAUUGGCGUUGUUUUCUCGUCCCACUUAUCCAAACGAUUUUUCACUUCCUGAGACAAAAUCAUAAAUAAUUGACAACAAAUAAAAAUACACAUAUAUCAACUACUCUUUCAAAAGUUGUUCUUGCAAUUUAUUGCAGAUAACUUAUUAAAAUUCAUAGACUUUAGCAGUUGUAAAAGUCCUAAUCUACAAUGUCCUUACAAAAGGGGCAAAAUUUACAUGGCAGAGUCAGAUAGGUAGAUAAUAGUAUGACUUUCCUUCAUUUUACAUAUACAUCUUUACAGAAAAAAUUAUUGCAGAACCACAAGUAAGAAUCAAUAAUUAAUGUGACCAGAAACACAAACUUGAAAACCAGGCUAAGAUUCUCCUUCCAAUGAACCAAGGCAGCUCACGCCUGGGUGAUAUAUAGUAAGUUUUCCCAACAGAACCGUGUUAUGCUAUCUUCAUUUGUAAGGCCUGAGGGAUUGGUGUUGGUAAUACAAAAAAGCUCUCUCAACGUAAAUGAUAAGCAAGAAUGACCUAUAAAUCUAUAUGAGCAUCAACAGAAUCGCUGACGAAGCAAAGAGCUGAUAAAAUUUCAAAGCCUCAUUAUAAAGACCUGCAAAACACGAGUAUUAUGUCAAGCAUAAGCAAGUAUUCAGUAGCAAUCAUAUUUUCUUUUGACUACACAAAUGUUAACUCUGCCCGCAAGACUUCAAAAAACUUGCAUGUAUGCAGGCUUGCCCUUAUCUACUUGAGCUGGAAGGAUAUCACUGGGGAACACAAAGUGCCUCAAUGGUCAAUUCCAAAUCCCCACAAAAUAUUUGUAUGAAUUUUUUUUGAGCUUUCUUGAUUUUCCCAGAGCUUCAUAUCACAAACUUAGAAGGAAUGGUGAAUCAUUUUAAAAUUUCUUGUUAAGUUUUGUUAUCUACUUACCACUUUGAGCAGAUGCAGCAGCAGGAAGUGCAGGAAUUCUAACAGCUGCAUGCCACAAGCCAAACAGAAAUUUCAAUAAAAUUCGACAAAAAAUAACAGCUAAAAGAACAUGAUUUUAAAUACUAUCAGUUGAACAUACAACUAUUGCAUGAUUGAGUUGGUAAUCGAGAUGAAGAAGGCCAUGGGGCUGGAAUGUUGUCAUUCAGAUCACAAAUAAAACUAAUCCCUGAAGAUUUGUCAAACGUUGCAUCUGAAGGCAAGCUCGGCAGGAGGCAUCCAGAUUCUGCUAGAAAGGGGCGAAUAUGCAAGUUAGAUUCAACUCUUUUAAAAAAAAAAACUCAAGUAGUAUAAAAAGUCCCGUACAGAAAUAUAUUGAAAACUAGAAAUUGUGCUACGGUUGGAAUUCAAGAGUGGUUGAAGAGUACAGCAAUAUACAGCAACACAACACAACUAUACAUUUCAGUUGUAAAUGAUAGAGCUGGGGCCGCACACAUGAUUGGAUGAUGGCUGAUAUGAAUAAACUCAAAGGGAAUAACUUUACAGAUCUUGCUAACUUUAUAUCCGUUAACUGAAUUAUAAUAUGAAUAACAUAUCGUACCUUGAUUUCCAGCAGCUGCAUCCAUAUCAUCAAUCCCCCACAUCACAUUGGAGAAGCAAGGUGACAAAAGAAUUAUGCAUUAAUAACAGUUUUAUGUCAGACAAAAGGAUAUUUCGAUUUUCUCAUUAAGCAGCAUUGUUUAACAGAACUAGUACUAACCUUGUAGGGUGAAAUCUUUGAGACUUAUAUGACACAGUUUAAAAACAUCUGCAGUUAUACUUGAUUUUUGUAACUUCGUUCCUAGUAAUGUAGCGCAAUCCAAAGCUUGCAAGUUAGUGAUGAGGCUCUGUUUUUGCAAGUGUGAUACAUAGCUCUCCAUGGCAUUACAGCAAGCUGAUUGGUUACUUAUAUUAUCCCCACAGCUCUUUGCUAAGUGUUUUGUGCUGGGGAAAGACAAAGGGCAAACUGAAGCAGAAAACAGAAUAAAUUUACUAAUAGAUCAAAAAAGAAUUGAGAUCAGCUGAAGGAUUUGCAUCACUAAACGAAAUCAAGUAGAGAAAAAUCUGCAGAGCAAACAUGAAAUUACCAUACAGUCCAAAACACAACAUUUGCACUCACAGACAAACUAGAAAAUAAAACAAAUUAUGAGCAAUUAAUACUUCAUAGCGAGGUGACCAAAUACCAAAUACCAAAUACCAGUAAAUGAACAUCACCUAGCAUCCCAAGGCUAUCAAUAACUACUGGAUGCAUAGAGAUGAACCAUAUGGGUCAAAUACUAAAAAGAAUAUUUCCAAUAGAGGACACAACACAAACAGUCGAGCAGAAAGCCAGCAAGAGUCCCCAUACACAACCAUGUUUCCAAUCAUCUAAACAAUCCAAAGAGCAACUUCCAGAGCUGUGAGAUUUUUAUUAAUGGAACAACUGGAAAACUCAUUCAAGAUCCAAGUGUUGAGUCAUGUGAUGAAGGAAUUACCAAUGAUAAUUGACAGUCCCAGGCAUUAACAGUUUCCAAUAAAAAUUAGAUUUUUACAUCCAUGUUUCACUCCAAUCCCACCUUUAUUGACGUUGCAAUUAGAUAGUCCUCUUAGAACUUCCUUGGAACGAGAGGGAUCAAGUUUACUUCCCAGCCACCGGAGGACAAUGCUUUUGCAAUCAUUAAUCCUGGUUGAGUGGUCGGAUAAAACAUUGUGCCCUUCCAUGUUCAAAGGAUCCGAGGCUUUCAUCGCAAUUUUGGUAGCAGCUUCUAAUAUUGCAUUCUGACAAAUUUGGUCACAACAUUCUUUUACAGGAUCAACCUUCUGACAGGCAACAAGAAGCUUAGAAGAAUCCACAGUGCUCUCAAAUUCAUUAACAGCCUUGACUGGGCAAGAUGCCUCAGUGAGGUUUGAUGCAUUAAUUGAGCAUAUCUUCUUCAGAUCAUCAGCAGCACCCUGGCCCACCAGAAUCUGCUCAAAAUCAGAGAGGCAGUGCUCGGCAAGUGUCCCAUUUAAAGCAAGCAUAUUAGUUUUUCUACUGGACUGACCAAUGAGAAUCAGAAUAGUGGCCUCUAGCUGCGGACAGCACACAACAUUGGCCAACAAUGGGGCGAACACAGCAUGGCAAUCAAUUGAAGUCAUGCUCAUCAAGCUUUCAGCUGCAGUAAAGUUUAGCAAACAGUGUCCUGCAAAAACAGAGAGUGCCAACAGCAAAAUGUGAGUAAAAAAUUUGCCCAAAAGAGCUUUGAAAACCAGAAUAAUUAGGCUACAGAACAAACCUGAUAAUUUUGGGACAGUGCUAUUCGUGAAGGGUGCCAAGGGAGAAGGUGCAAGAAGAGGAAGAAAUGGCUGAGGAGCCUCACUAGGGGGAAUCUCAGGUAACAGAUCAUCCACUCUUCUGUUCACUGAUAUGUGACCUUUCAGAUUAUACAUUGAACUGCAACAUGAUUCAUGGAAACCUGUAACCAAACAAAGGGUCACUAAAAUGACAGGAUAAACAAUACUCUACUCCCAAAACCCACCAUAAUUUAAAUAAAACACCCCCCCCCCCCCCCCCAAACCAAGGUCGAUGCAUGGGAUAUCCGAAAUCCCUGACUUCUUGCAGCCAAAUCAACUAAGCUGUCAACUUAGGGAUGAUCUUGUAAGAAUUUGAAAUGUAACAACUCCGUAACAGAAUUUGUGAGCCCUAAUUUAAUGUUAUGAGAUAAAAGACUCAGAGAUGUGCAAUGGCAAGUUACUAAUGCAAAUAGGCAAUCUAGAGGAAGCUGCGUUGAAAGAAAGCUAAUUUACAACUUAACUAAGAUAGCUAGCAGCAACUAUAUGAAUUUUAUUAGUUCUAAUAUUGGAGAAUUAAGAUAAAAAUACUUAAUACAUACUCCUCAUUAUAGGUGAUAAUAACUAAAAUUAAGGAGCUUUACACACAAUACAACAAUCAACCACCAGAAGCAGAAACUUUUUUCCUUUUUUUUUUUUUUUGGGUGUAAACACAUAACAAAAUGGGCUAAAAAUUACAGUAAAAAUUUACAAUACAACAAAACAGAUCAUGACAAAAUCAACCAAACCCAGAAAAGGAAAUGGUAAAAAGAGCUGAGCAGUGAGCACUUACAUAGAAGCAACAGAAACAGCACUAAAAGACCCAUACUCAGACUGAGGUUAAGAGAAAUCCCUUCACUCAUUCCUCCAAAAUUUCCUUCUUUCAACUCAAAAAAAUGAAAAAAAAAAAAAGUUAGAAGUAAAGAUGAAAAAGGAGGAUUAUAUAACAAAAGGCGUGACCAACAGUUAAAAGAAUUUUUAGUAGUUUCUGUCUUGGAAUUCAGAGAAUGGGUGGGUAUGAAAGAGAAGGAAGAAAGAAAAGUAAAACGACACGAUUAAUUGAGAGAGUAAUGGAGUGCUGUACUACAGAAGCCAUGAAUGAGCUUAAGAAAUACGUGGGGUCUAAACUCUAACCAAGUUUCAGGGCGGAAUGGAAUAAUAUCACCUAGCUCCCUAAUUAAUUGAAAUAAUUUAGCUAGCUAUCCUAAUUAGCUAAACCAAAGUAGGGAGACAUCCACUAUAAUACUUUCCUCUUUUUUUUUAAAAAAAAAAAAAACUCAUAAUAAUUCUAAUCAUUUAUUAACUCUAAAAAGAAGAAGGGGCUUCUUAGAAAACCAGAAAAAUUGGGUUCUUAAUUAAGAUUUCGUAAACGUUGAGGGAGAGUAAGGAUGGCAAUAGAUCGGAUCUGACCCAAGAUUUAUGUGAUUCAAAUUCACUUAGAUUAGAUUUGGAUUGGAUUUGGAUACCAAUGCGUGGAUUUAAGACGGAUCGGGAGCAAAUUUAAAUUUAUCUUAAUAUCUAUAUCCAAAUUCAUAUCCACUCACCAUUUAAUGUAAUUUUAUUUUAAAUAAUUCUUAACAAUUAUGUAAUUAUAAAUGAUGAUAAAAUUUAUUCAUUAGCAUGUAUUUAAGAAUCUUAAAACUUAAAGGUGCUUAAUUAAUAAUAAGACAAAAAAUAAUCAAGUGUAAAAUAAAAUUAGGAUAGCCUGUCCUAAUUUUUUUAAUUUUUUCACUCUACAAUUUAGUCUCUUUUUUCCUCUUUAGUCUGCUCUCGCUUCUCCACUUCAUUUGAAUGCUUUGAUCAGUUCUUUAAUUGUUAGGAAAAUCCAUAGACUUGAGUUUAUUUUUCUAUCAUUUUUUCAAAAUCUUAUUUAUUUUGUAUAAUCACUAAUCAAUGGUGGCUAUCAACUAUAAAAUAAUUAUGUUAAUAAUAUAUUUAGUUAAAUAUAAUCAUAAUAAAAAUAAUAAAGCACUGAAUAUAAUAAAUCAUUUUUAAUUUAUAUGUUAUUAUUUAAUAAUAUAAAAAUGAUGAUGGUAUGCAGUGGAUAUCAAGAUAGUAAAGGAGACAUUAGAAUAUUAUAAUGAUAUUAUUCUUUCAAUUACUUUUGAUCGAUAUUUUAUUAUCUUUCUUAUUUAUUUAUUUUGGUGUAAAAGUAGAAGUUACAAUACUUAUUAGAUUUUUUGUAUACAUUAUAUAAUUUAAUUGUUACCAAUACAUUUUACUCUUAACUUUUCUUUUUUUAAAAAAAUGAUCUCUUAUUAUUGAGAUUUAGAAUUCAUGAUGAAUUUAGAGCAGAUUUAGAUUUUAAUUUUUUUUUAAUUUAGAGCAUAUAUAAAUCUUUAUUUUUUAUUUCGGAUCUAGAUAUAGAGCUAAAAAUAUAUAUCCAUAAUGAAUCUAGAGUAGAUACAAACCUUAAUUUUUAUUACGAAUCUAAAUAUAAAAUAAUAUAGAUUCAAACCAUAUCUGCUCCAUUAACAUACCUAAGAGAGAGAAUAUAACUAUCAAAUCAGAGAUAGCUGUACUGGGAGGGACAGUGGAGCCCACAGGGACAUAAAAUCUUAAGAGAAUUAAUAAAAGGAGAACCCACUGCUCUCAAUUCUCAUUACCGCCAUCAAUUGCCUUUCUCUGCUUCCCCAACCAGUUAAUCACUACCUCCAACUGUAUCCACCACACACCGCGCCAGUCACGCACGCGUGAGCCUCUUUGUCUCGAAUGUGUGAGUGCCCACGACACGUGUUACAGACAAACCAGUUGUUGUUUGUUUACAUACUAAUUAAUAAUUUCGGGUUGAUUUAGAAUUUUUUCCGUGCGUUUGGCACAUUUCUUUUCCACUCCCCCAGAAAUGCCUUUGGACAUUACAUUAUAGCAAUAAUGUAAUAUUUUAUUUGGCAUAGUAUAAACUUUAUUAUAUGAAAAAAAUUAUAUUAUAUUAUAUUAUAAUAUUAUUACUAUACUAUGAAUAAUAUUAUUACAUAAUUUAUUCCUAUAUAUUAGUUAAUAUGAUAUAGUAUAAUUUAAUAUUAUAUUGUAAAAAUAUAGUAUUAUGUAUGUAAUAUAAUAUUAUAAUAUCAUCUUAUAAAAUUAUUUUUAUUUAUUAAUGUCGAAUGUAAUUAGGUUUAUUAAUAUUUUAUAUAUUGUUUAUGUUAAAUUUUUAUUUAAAUUUAUUAUAAUAUAUUAAAUUAUAAAAGUCAAAUGAUUAUAUUUAAAAUAUGAAUAGAAUUUUAAUACAAUACAACCUAAACCCUUCUCACCCAUGGAUUUAUUUUAUACACCUUUUUAGUAUAGUAGUCAUCUUUGUAAUACAUUCAAUACAACUAGAAAUUGUAACCAAACAUGAGUUAACAUAAAAAAAAAAAAAAACAAUAUUUUAACACAAUACAAUGUAGUGUAAUAUAAGUUGUCAAACACAUUGUAAGUUCUUUAUGCAAUAUCAUUCAAGACUCACCAAAUUCAUGAUUGUCCUAUACAUGAAUAUUUGUGGACAUAAUAAAUCAUAAAUGGUACGUUUGACACAUUAUAUUAUACUAAAUUACCUAUAUUGUAUUAAAGUGCAAAAAAUUAUAGUUAAAUGUGGAUUAAUAUAAGAAUAUUAUUUUAACACGAUGCAAUUUGCAAGUUGCGAAUGCACCCAACGAGAUGAAGAGUUAUUUUACUUGGGAAAAGAGAGAGAAGCUCGCCUAAAUGUUCUGCAGCCCAACUCCAGAGGCCGAAAUCGUAGGCCCUUUGUAGGUCAGAGUUGUCAGGCUCAAGCCCAACUCUAAAGAGCGACAAGGGAUACAGUUGCAACAAAUAAUGGCCCAUAUUGACCAAUAAAAUAACGGUUUUUUUUAUUAUAUAUAAAUAAAAUAGUAAUUAGGAUCAAGAGAGAUCGUUGAGUUAGUCAGCUCGCCCAUUUGAGCAUGAAGACAUUGAAAAGAAGCUCUCAAUUGAUUGAUUUUAUUUUUAUUGGCGGCUUAUACAAUAAAUGUGCAACAAAUUGAACCGCAAGACUUACACAUAUGACGUCAAAAUAGCCUACGUUAAGUUACUUGUAGAAUAUGAACAUCGAUAAUGAUCAUUUUGACCAAUAAAAAUCAAUGAAUUAACUAACGGCCUAAAAAUUUGAUCGUCAUCAUGCAUCAACAGCUGAGUUCACCGUUCACCUCCGGAAUACUCUGCAGGACGGGCCUCCACGACCGGUGAUACGCCACCUGAAACUGUGCAUUACCGUUGAUCAACUUUGCCAAUACUUCCUCUAGAGACAAGCCCCUCACCCCCAUUCCUUGCACCAAAUCCUCUAAUUCCUUCCUCGUAAGCUUUAACUUGACUUCUCUGCUAGACGGAGACGGCGAUGAUGAAGAACAACCUCUCUCUUCUCCAUCUGGCAAUAACAUUUUCCUUUCUACGUUGAUAUCAUUUUCAUCAUUACUCGUUGCUUCAUUUCCCGGAGAUUCCCAAUAAUACUCCUCGCAAUCCCACACCAUAUUCCUCGAAGCAUUAGCAUCACGUUUAAUGCAAAACAAACAAUUUCCCAUGUUAAUCCUGAGAAGAUAAUGAGAAGAGAUUUCGUGAGGAUGGAUCAAGUUGAUUGUAUAUAUAGGUUAACUACUAGGGUGACGUCAAAAUUAAAGUUUGGACAUGUUCCAAGGAAACUUCAUGCAAUGAGUUGGCUUGGCUACGCCUACGUAGGAUAUCGAUGUGGGUUUGGUCUUACUUGGAAAAAACUAAUAGAGAGUUUGGUCAGCUCAAUUAGUUGACCAGAAUUUCUAAUCGUACAGCUAGAAUUAAAACGAGUUUGAUGUGUCAAACGCAUAACAUGAAAACAUGGCUUCCCUAGCUUAAUUUACGCCGGUUCACUUCGGGUAGUUUUCGGCUUCUACAGCAAAAAUAAAAUACAACCCAGCUAGGAAAUAAUUAAACCCAACCGGAAGGAUAAGAUUGAAAUAAAAAUAGAGAGAAAAAAAAAGUUUUCUUCUUUUUCGGUUUUGUUUAUGAUACACGUUAUUUUUGGUGUAUGAAGAAAGGGCAUUUGAGAUGGCUUAUUUUGUUUGAACUUAGAAGCUAUACAGGUAAGUGUGAACGGAGAUAUGAAGUGGAAUCAUUGACCUUUGCGUUGAUUUUUCCUUUCCACAUAAAUUCGGUAGAUGCCUUAUAUUCCUUUCUCAUCAUCAUGCAUGCACUUAAAAACAAGAGCGCUGCUACAGUGCUACUCACCCCGAAUAUUAACCCCGAAUCGCGCCGCCCCGAAUUUAAAACGCACCGUUUUGAUUAAAUUGAAAACGGUGCGUUUAACCCAUGUUUCCUUUCCUUUCUUUUGCCGAACCACAGAAACAGACCUUUGCCGCUUCCUUCUAGAUUCUAAUUGCCGCUGCCGCUUCCUUGUAGCUUUGUUGCCGCUGCCGACCUUUGCUUCCUUUUGGCUUCACGAUCUAGAAGCCAUCGCUGCUUCCUUCAAGUCCACAGCUGCCGCCGCUUCCUUCUGGCUCUGUUGUGGUCACUGCAGCUGCCGCUUCCUUCAAGAACCGAGCUCUCUAAGCCCCUCACUGCCGAUUUUGACCUUUGCUUCCUUUUGGCUUCAUGAUCUAGAAGCCAUCGCUGCUUCCUUCAAGUCCACUGCUGCCGCUUCCUUCAAGGCAGUCUGCUCUCUCUAAAUAAUUUCAAUAAGUUUGAAUUUAUUUUUAAACAUUUAAAUAAUUUCAUAUAAAUUUAUUUUUAAUUAAUACAAAUUAAUUUCAUGUAUCGUUAAAUGUUCAUUCAAGACUCUGUUGUGUUUGCUGCUGAUUGUGUUUCUGUGUUACUGUUCUGGGAUUGUCUUGCUGCUGAUUGUGUUUGUGUGUUACUGGUGCUGGAAUUGUGUUGGUGCUGGUGGAAGUGUUACUGGUGCUGAAAUUGUGGUCGUCUGAGCAUUUCUGUUUAUGGUUUUUAUUCGUACUAUUAUUCAGCUGUCAAGUCCACCUAAUUGCAGUUUCUGAGUUCUAUUUCCCGUUACUUUAUUAUAUAGGAGGUGAGGGAGGAAUAUAAUAUACUGAUGAGGAUCGGACCCAAUGCUAGCUAGACUUGUUGUUUUCUUGUUUAUGGGUGCUUAUUUGAAACUCAAGUGGGGAAUCAAAUAAGCUGAGUUCUUUUGUUUAUGGUUUAAUUUACAGUUUUGCCGUUUACAAUGCUAUAAAGAAAAUAUUGCUUCAGUUUCAUCGUUUGCUAUUGUUUUUCGUGUUUGUUCUAAGUCCAAUGUCAUUCUCAUGCAAGAACAAGAUCGAGCGUUAAAUGUCGAUUUUUCUUCUUAGUUAGCCAAUGUGAAAAUCUGCCUUGAUAAGAUCAGAUUUAAACCUGCUAAACAAUCAAGUGAAAUUAAUGAGAUGCCUUCUAGUGGAAAUAGAUUUCGUAAAUCGUUAAAUAAAAGCAAGUUUUGGUCUAUUUGGUUCACAAUUAUGACUGUAACAAAUUAACAAUGGCGCAAUUUCUAAACGUGCCGUCUAACUUUAUCAUAUCUGUAAUCUUUAACCAUGAAAAAAUAAAACCUGCAGAGUGAAUUAUUGAUGCUCAUGCAUGCAAGAAUUUGAUCAAUCAAGCUAAUAUUAAGGUGAAGGGGUUCAGCGUGAGAAUUGUCAAGUUAAUUGCAUGAACAAUUCGCUUGUAAGGAAAAAGCAAUGAAAGCAAAAGGAAAUGAGUCAAAGCAAAACGCACCGUUUUUGACAAUAUUCGGGGCGCAGAUUCGGGGUUAAAGUCGGGGUAAAUAGCUUUUCCCUAAAAACAAACAUCUAUUUCACGUUUCACUUCAUCUUCAAUCUUCAUUGUCAAAUUAUGAUUAAUUAUCUUUGUUUAAUAGCAUAUACACACACCUUGUUAACCCUUUACAUAAACAAGAAUAAAUACACGCACGCACGCACGCACGCACACAGUUGCCAGGCCACCGACGACAUUGACUUUGGAUCACUGCAUGUAGUACUAAUGCACCAAUUGCACGUAUAAGUGCAUGCAUUUUUGGUGGAAACUCAUUAUUACUUGAACAUAAAUUUAAUGUUUCUUUACGGGAACGUUAUAGUCGAGCCCACUGGAAGAAUAGCAAUUCUGGAAUUGAAGCCCACUGAAAAUAUUAUGUGAUCUAGCUAGUGAGUGUGUGAGAAAGAGAAUAUAUAUCAGCAAAGGUGUAGCAGAAAAAUUAAGAAUGCUGCCAUCCAAACAUCGAUCGAACGGCUCGUUUGUUUGGUAGUUGAAUGCGAGCUUAAGCUAUCUAUAUUACUUUGAUUUACAGAACACAAAUAACAUAAACUAAAUGAUAAUGCACGCUAUGUAUCAAAGUUCAAAGAAUCUAGAAGAUUAAUCAGCAGGGUGUCUACUGGUAUCCAUGAAGCAAAUUAAGAAAUUAAGAGGAACAAUUUGUAUUGGCUUUCUAAUAAUUAAUUACUCCACAAGAAUUCUAGAAUAGAUUAAGAUCACACUAAUGGAUGACGAUCAUGACACCAUUUACUUUCAAUGCCGUACUUUGAAGGUGAGUUUAGUUUGACACGUAUACGAUGGAAAAAAAAAUGCCGCAACUUUUUUUUUUCCUUUUUUAAUGCACUAGUUAAUUAGCUAGAAUCAGCAGCUACCAUUUCGUUUAUUCUAAUAUUAACAUCGCGAAUAUUUUACUAGAUUACUAGUUCAAACUUAGUAGUUAUCUUGUACUGGAAUUCUUUGUGUACGUAUAACUAGUCAAUAAAUUAAAAUUCCUUGUAACUCUUGAACACAAGAGCAUAUUUCUGCAAGAGAAAUUUUAUUAGUCAAUUGAUCUACCCAAUCAGUUAACCUGAGAAUGAAAGGAUAAGCUUCAAGAAAUUAUUGCUAUGAAAGAGAUUUCAACAUGUGGAUAUUAUUUGUAGAUUAGAUGGCUGGUAGUUUUGUCAUUGUUCUAAAUGAUUUUAUGAUCUUUAGUUUGUGAGCAUCUUGUAACUUAUCUUUUUGCAACCUUUUUCUUUUUUUCUCGGGACGGAGUCAUAACUAUUGUGAAAAACGAAGAUGAUGCUUUUUUUUUUUUUUUUUUAAUUUUUUUAACAAAAUUUGGUACAUACAAAUGACAAUUUGCAUCAUAUCAGCUAUCCCAAUCAGAUGCGGAAGCAUUAAUACCUUCAAUAAGAUAAUAAAGAAAGAGACAGUGACGAUGACAUUGGAAACUUCAUGAUCUUAUAAUUUAUAUAGCAGCGGAUAAUUAAUUUACGCAUCAAUCAACUCAUCCUACCCUAAUUUCCUGCAUUCAUUAAGGGCGAUUUGUUGCUUAAAAUAAAGUAUCACGUGUUUUGGUUGAUCCAACUGCUUGACUGUCUAUUGAGUUGAUCGUCUAAAUCGCUUGAAUUUUAGUAAUAAAAUCUUAUAUAGAAAAUCCACAUGUCGUUGCUAGACUAGUUGGGUUGUAAUUGUUAUGCCUAUUAAUAUCAUUAUUAUUAUUAUUAUUUGGAGUAAAUCUCAGCAAGAGCAUGCCUUGUUAUUUCGAUUAAUAAUAAAGAUAAGCCUGACUUUACUUCCUUAAAAGGGGGAGAAGAAGGGGGGAAAGAGAUGUCGUGUAGUUUCAUUUUAUGCCAACUCACGUAGAUCAUAAAGUUUGAUUUAAAUGAGUUGGUUCUAAAAUUUUCACCAUUUAGAUGAUGAUUAACUGGAUAGAAGCUUAGUGCAUGUGUGAUUAACAUAUACUUUAAAGGGACAUAAUUGCAUGCACUUUAUGGUGAGAGAUUAAGCGCGUCAUGUUUUCAUGUGAGGUAUCAUAACUUCUCCAAUGAAAGCUUGACACGCACGUAAUCACUCGCUAUAAGGUGCGCGAUUGCACGCACCUUAUCAUAUUCUAUAUUUAAAUGCAUAUAAUGUUGUGCAUUUUUCAAGUGAAAUAAUAUUUACGCAGAAUUUGAUAUUAAUUAAAAUUAAUUUUAAGCAUGGAAAUGAUUCGAUAUAGUAAACAUUUUAAUAAUUUCUCUAGCUAAUAGCUACAAAAUACGUACUUGCACUUAAAUCAAGUUGCCCAAACAAUGCAUUACGAGCUAGAAAUUCUUUCCACAUGAAUUCACAAUGCGAUAUUUUGAAGCCUCUAUCACCAAAUUUAAUGAUAUUUCUGAUUAUGGCUGUCCAUAAGAAACCUAAUAAAUGUGGGAAACUAACUAAAUGUGAAAAAAAAAAAAGGUAGUAUUAUAUAUUGAUGGAGAUGUGAUGGAAACCUUCAUGUACUAAUGAACACAACUUCAGCUUUUCUUUUUUUUCCACCUGAUAACGCUCUCUUUACUAAUUGGUUGUCCAAAAUUUAGCAGAAAUACACACUUUUCAGUAGAAUUUUAAAAGAUCGAGAUCAUCGGAUCAAAUGGCAUAAGGCAGUUUCAAAAACCGGUGUGUAAUUUAUGAUGGAAAUUGCUUUUUAUAAGAGUGAAGCACACAAAGCAAAACACACCAUGUUCAUUUAACAUGAAAUUAUUAUGAGUGGGGCUAUUUGUAAUAUUUGUACAGCACGUAUAUCAUGCAUGGACUAACCGCGAGCAAAUUAAUGGUAGCUACCCUUUUGUUAAUUCAUUAUUAUAAAACUUAUAUGCAACAAAUUAUGGCAUCAUACACAGAUAUUUAUAAGUUAUUAAUGCAAAUAAAUAAUAGUAUGCAUAGAACAAUCUACUACUAGAGAGAUUAAAGCACUUUUCUUCUUACGACCUAGGUAAAGUUUGAUAACUUCAUGCACGCAAGUGUUUUAAGGGGAAUAUUUCCUCUCGAUUAAUAGAAUGCAAUUUCAGCAUUAUAGAUUCAAAUAUUUAAACUGUGCUACUACUAUUAUAAUUGAGCUAUCUAUACAAGAUUCUUCUAAUUUUUUUAUGGCCCUAACAAAAGGUACACUGAGAGUGAUUUUUUAAGAGCUAUAGUGUAAAAAUAUAUAUAUGGAAUUAUGUUAAAACAUCAAAUAGAUAAAAUUAUUACAAAUUAAAUUUUAAUGGAACCUAUAGAAAAAUAAAUUUUUUUACCAUGUACCGUCUAUGGAUUUUCAUCCUUAUCCUCCAAUGAGAUUACUAUCUAGGCCACAUCUGCUAUAACGCAAAUAAAUAUUUUAAAUUGAUCCUAUAUUCAUUUUGUCUUUGUUUACUUCUUAGGGAUCUUGCAAUACGUGUACAUGAUUAAUUAUGUAUGGAUAGAUGUAUCAGUUUAUUAUUUUUGUUUUUAUUAGCCACCAAUCAAUGGAUAUCAAAAAGGCAAAAUCAAAGACAAGAUGAGCAAUGAUCCUGAAUCUCUACAAUGUCCUUAAUACUUAGUGAAAAGACCCUCGAUGCUUUUAGUUAGAGCAUUACUCAUUAUUCAUUUAGUACUUGACAUGUGUGUAUCUCUCUCUAUAUAUAUAGAAAAUUUUCAAUUCAUUUUAAAGUGCGGGAAAAUUUAGGAAAAUUUUAAAACCCUGUGAUUUUAAAGUAUUAAUUUCAUAAUAUUUAAAAACCAUGCGAUUUUAAAAUUUUAUUAGACUUUCCUGUACUUUAAAAUUUCAGACAAAAAAAAACUAUUGUAUAUAUAUAUUAUGAUUAAUUAAAAUAUACAUGUGACAAGAAAUAAAUGAAAAAUGAGUGGUGCUUCAAGACCACCUAAAAAUUUUUCUUCUCUAACAAGGUGGACUUAACUUUCACAGUGAAAGCAAGGAGUAAUGGGUUCAAGUUAAAAGUGAUAUUUUUAAUUUGAAAUACAUUAGAACCUUUAUAAAUUAAUAGGGUUGGGACCAUAUAAAAUCUAUUAAUUAAAAGAGAAAUUAAAUAAUUGAUAAAUUAAUAAAUUAUUAAUUUAUAUAGUUAUUUACAGUUCAAUUAACAUACAUCAAUAAUACUUUAUAAUUUCUUAUUAUAAUUUGAGAAGUCAAUUCCAAAGCUUUUAGAUGCAAUAAGAAAAAAAGAGAUGAGAUCUAAUUAGAUAUAAAUUUUAAGAAAAAUAAUAAUAAAGUCAUAUUUUAUGUAAAUAAGUAACAAUAGAGUCAUAUUUUAUGUAAUUAUAUUAUAGUCAACUACAUUUGUAAUUUCAGUAAAUUAUUAAUUCAUAAUUUGAAUGAGACCACAAAGUUAUAUAAGAUUUUUUUGAAAAAGUAUUAUCUCAUUAUUUUAUCGAAGUUAUUAAUUUAGUCUAUUAAUUUAAAUCGGGACCGUGAAAAUUUAUUAUAUAAUAAAGAUUAUUAAUUUAUCAAAUUUUAAUUUAUAGAAAUUUAUUGUAUGUAACUUUUUUUUUUUUGUGUAAGUCAUUCGGUAUCCGGCGACCGCAUUGGGUCGCGACUAAUCCGAAUUUGGGGUGUAGUCAUAAUUAAAGCUAUUUACCCCUCCCAAAUGACGUGUUUAGUGGGGAUCGAACUCGAUAGCACUUCCCACAAACUCAGCCUACGUUGCCAACUGAGCCACAACUAUUUGGUACUGUAUGUAACUUUUUUAACCAUUCAAAAUAAAUUGGUUUAAAAUAACAUAAAAAAAUAUUAAGCGUUAUCUUUCGAAAUGAUUGAUGGAAGGAAAAAUCCCACGACUCUAUACAUAUUUGGGACAUUGAAGAUUUUAGAUACCGAAACUGUCGAUUUCAAAGCAACUAAACAAACAAACACUACAAGUACGCCAUUUAACGACUUUCAACAGUCAAAACAGCACUAUACAAAUAAAAGGCAUGAGCUCUGUACUGUCGCUCGGUCAGUCCACGCGGCAAAGCCUCCGCAAACAUAGCGCUUUGUUCUAAAUUCUCUCAAGCGGUGUGUGUGAGAGUGAGACACUGAAAUGACACAUUCGCUCCUUCAUACAACAAAAUGAACGCGUCAGUUGGAUCACUCACCCCACGUCGUCAUCACCGAAAAUUGAGGAACCCGAUAACCUUUUACCGUCGCCGGCACUACAAGCCGCCGGGAACCCCAUUCUUAAGCUGGAAGUUUGAUGAAAGACAGAGGGCUUAUGGGGCUGUUAAGGUUUCUGCCAGAAAGCUGGCUGCUGCCCUCUGGCAAUUGCGUUUGUUGGCUAAGGUUUCAGAUUCUGAUGUGCUUAAAUGUGGAUCAUGUGAUCGCUUCAGUUUUGAGGUUUGUUCUUUUCUUUUUCUAUUUUUUUGGGAUUUGAGUAACUGCGUUGUUUGGUUGAUGAGAAACGGUGGGAAUGUAAAUAGUUGAUUUUCUUGGCAUUGAAUUGAUGAUGGGUUUUUUAUCCUAAAAACAUUAAUUUGCAUGCAUGCGCGGUCGGUGAUCAUGUGUUAAUUUGGAUGAAUGUUCAAGGUUGAUCAUUGUUAUCAAUUGGUAAAUUACGGAAGAGUUUUAAGCUUUUGAUACCAUAAUUCAUCAAUUUUUAUUCCAGUUGCCAUUCUCAAAGCAUCAUUAAGUGAAGCAUAUUUCUUGGUGCUCUAGUUUUUGGAUUUGUUGUUUGAUUUAGUUUGCAUUUGGGUAGGGCAGGAUUAAUCCAAAAUUUGAAAUUCUCUGCUUUAUAUAGAAUGACUUGAUUUAAUGCAUUUGAUGUAAGUUAUACUACUGAUAGGUUUCGUGGCAAUUUUGAAAAUUAAUUUAUAUCAUUAUCGAUCUUGCAGUCUCAAGCCAGACCUGGAAAUAUUGAUCUUUCCUCACAUUGCUCUGGCAGUGGAUAUGGUGUAGGAAGCAAGGACCUCCCAAGGAGUCCUCUGCUUCGUCAUGGUUCAAGCCAUGAGAUUUUGCAUAAGGUAUGGGUUUACAUUUCAGUAGGAUACCUAUUUUUUCAACUGUUUUCUAUAGUUUUUAUUGAUAAUCAACUCAAUUAUGUUGAUCGAUGGUCUAUGAAAAUUGUUUGUAUGAACUUUUGGACCACAGAAUUUGUAAUAAUUGUAUUGGUACGGUGGCAAGUAAUCUUAAUUAGUCUGUUCUGCAUGUCAGUUAAACCAACGUUUGUCUUGCAGAUAGCAAAAUUAGCUGCUCAAUUUGUUGUUGUUUCCCAUGUAAACUUAAUUUAUAAUUGUUAAUCCUACAUUAAAAUUCUCGGAGUGUAGUGUCUGAUUUCUCUCAUUUAAAUAUUUCUCUAGCAUGAAUCUUAUUUGCCAUAUCCCAACUUGGUAAUGGAAGGGGUGACAAAGUGGGAUCCUGGCUGCUCAAAAACAGCAAGGGAGGCUUAUUGCCUUUACAACCAUGUGAAGCUUCUUGAAGAUCAAGUUACUACUUUCUCUUUUGUUUCUGCUCUGCAAGCAGAGCUCGUGCAAGCUCGAUUAAGAAUUCACGAACUUGAAGAUGAGCAUCGGUCCUCUAAGAAGAAAUAUGAAAACUUGGUUAGAAAGCUCAGAGAGGAAAGAAACUCGUGGUAUGUCAGAAAACACUAUAAAAUGGAGGCAAUUGUUGAUGAGUUAAAGGAUGAAUUAAGUAAAGAAAGGAAAAGCCGGAAGCAGAUCGACUUUCUCAACUCUAAAUUUGUCAAUGAGCUGGCUAAGGCCGAGUCAUCAGCAAAGCAGUUCAUGCAAUAUUAUGAGGAAGAAAAAAGGGCCAGACAGUUACUGGAGGAAGUUUGCAAUGAGCUGGCUAAAAAAAUCGGAGAAGACAAGGCUGAACUGGAAAUGUUGAAGAGUAAAACUAUGCGAAUUCGUGAAGAGGUGGAAGAAGAGAGAAACAUGCUGCAGCUAGCUGAGAUUUGGCGCGAAGAACGUGUGCAGAUGAAGCUGGUUGAUGCAAAACUGGCUCUUGAACACAAAUAUUCUCAGAUUAAUAAGCUGGUAGAGGAACUCGAAAAUUUUCUGAUGUCCAAUGCUGCAACCCUGGAUGUGAUGGCAUUAAGAAAAGCUGAGUUAAUCAUACGGGCAGUCAAAUUAUUGAAUAUUCAGGAUAGUGACGAGUUUGAAUACGUGGCCCCAGCAUCAGAUAGCAUAUUCUCCAUUUUUGAAGAACUGCGACAGGGUGUUGAUGCAAGGGAGAUGGAAGUUGAACCUCUAACGAAUUAUAGUCCUAAUUAUGAUGCUUCUAACCACCACAUUGUGAGUCCUGAGGUAAAUGAUUUUGACAACAACCAUGUGCUAAAGCAUUUAAAUGGCUUUAUUGAUUGUAACAAUGGUUUAAAAAAAGAUUCUAGAUCUUGGGAAUGUGCUAGACAUAGUGAGGAUCAAGGUUCAAGAUGUUCUGUUGGAGGAAGAGACCCCUCUAUUAACAGUGGUGGCCAAGGCAAAGUAGCUUCAAAGAGCACAAUAAUGCAUCAUGGGAAUGGUGGUCAGCAUUCUCCAAAUACAGAUGCCAGUGAUGAGUGCUCAGUCUCAGGAGAACAGCCCAGGCAGAAAGCAUGCUCUGUAUCUAAACUUAAAUUAGAUGAGGGGAAUGGAGUUCCAAAUGGAACAGUUUCUAAUGCAAGGGCAAUGAGAAAGUUGGUAGACGGUGGUUGCAAUCAAGGGGAUUUGACAGAACAGUUUGUGUUACCGGACUUGGGAAAUCCACACAUAACUCGAGGAAUGAAAGGGUGCACUGAAUGGCCAGGAGUCACCCGGAAGAUCAACAUGAAGGAUAAGCACUUGAAAGCUAUGAUGGAAAACCAGAAAACUCAUUUGCGCAAAGUUCUUAAAUAGAUGAGUAGCAGCAUGUACUUUUCCCCAAAUUUUGCAGUUGGAGAAGCUGGCAUCAAAUCCAGACUCAAGAGAGUGCAGCAAUUUUUGUUGAUGAGUCUCCUGCAUGCAUACAUAACUACUGCUAGCUUUUUUCUUUUUCUCUUUUUGGAUCUUGAUAAUUUUUAUACUGCAUCAUUGAAAUAUUGAUGUUUGUUUAAUUGCUUAUAUAUGUUUAAUCCCUGCAAAUCGCAGGCAAGCCAUGCAUUGCAUAAAAAAAAUUUCAUUAGUGUGUGAUUUCACAGAGUUGGGCAAUAUAUAAUUCACUUACUGAAGGUGAAGCAACUCAUAGCAUAAAGUUUAAAUGGAUAUGUACAAGCUGCUAAAAAAAGGUGACGUGUUGGCACUCGGCAAAUAUUCAUUAUCUGCCGUCAGUAAUAGAAACCUGGAGAUAAGAUGAUCAGUGAAUUAUGUUGCUUAACUGUGUAAUCAAUCUUUAGUAUGUGUUGUUCUAUAUUUUUCAUUUAAACAAUAUGACUUCAGUAUCUAGCUAGCUUUCUGAAGUACCAUUUAUUUGAACGGAAACUUGAUGAACUAUUAUCUCACGCUUAUAGAUCUGAUUUCGUACUUGACAAAAUUCAAUCAAGGUUAUGAUUAGUAGGUUACUGAUUAAAAAUAUAUAAAAAAAAAAAAAUCUUAACUAAACAUGUACCGUUAUAAAGUGCAUACACAAUCAUCUUUAAAAGUUCAGUAUAUGAAUGAGAUCCAAACUUGAAAUCGGCAAGGUAAAGUUUCCUAAUUAUUAGGUAGCAAUGCAGGAAUGUUUCUGUGAUUGUGUGGAUCAGAAUUUUAAGAAAAUUUUCACGAACUACUCUUAUUUUCUAAGAGUUCAAGUUCAACAUUGACAUGAAACGAAUUAAGUGAAACAAAUAAAAGCUCCUAAAACGAAAGCUAUAUAAUGAUAUAUAUACAUAUACCUUGUUUUUUUUUUCUUUUUAUUAUACGGAUACGCUUUUAAGCCAUUUAAUUUAAUAAAAUUUUUUAAUGCUAUUAAAUCGUAUGAUUUUAUAGUGCAUUAAAAAAUAAUUUUAUUAAGUUGUAUGAUUUACCAGCAUGUCUUUAUUAAACAAAUAAAAAUGAGGACACCUGCACCGGAGAAUUCUUUUAUAUAUGUAUGUAUUUAUAUGUGUGUUCAUUAUUAUCGAUUCCAUCAGUUUUUAUCGGCCGACAAAUGAUCAAUCCUUAAAUGCCUCACCUUUAUCAAAAUUGACAUAUCAAUAGAAAGAAAUAUGUUGCUCUUUAUGUUGAUCAACCACAAGAAUUUGAGGAUAAAGGAACGAGUUUAAAAAUUAAAUAGAAAAAGCAAAGCAAAGCAAACAGGGUACAUUGCUAAUCUUAACAAAUGGAUAAAGAUUGCAAGUUUUCAAAAAAUGAUAAAGCAAAGUUGAAAAUACAGAGAUCAAAUACAUCUCACAUCAAGCAACAUGCGGCUAAUUCAUGCCACACAAAUCAUUUCAAGUACGCCCAAGUCAAUCAAAAUAAAGCAAGACAUAAUAGCAAACAAAAAUGACAAUAUACAUCUAUUCCGUGUCUCUUGGUCUUGGGAGUUUGGAUAUAAUGCUUUUAAAAGUCAUAGUUAAUUAACGAACGUAAGUUUCAAGGUACAUAAUUUUUCCAAGUUUUUGGACACCAAAAUUAUGAUCUCUUGUGAAAUUUUGUGAUCAAUGAAAUUAUAAUUAAUAAUAUUAUUAUCAGUAAAUAGAAUAAGAUGCCAAGCAGAUCAGCUAUAGUGCAGUAAAGUACUAGCUCUGCAAGAAACAUGAUUUGCACUGAAGCCCACUACCCAUGAUCAAGAUUCAAGAACAAGAAAUGGACCUAUCACCACCACCAGAACCAAAUGGGUCAGAAAUCAUAAUGUGCAAGUGGAGCAAGAAUAUUUUACCACAUUCAUCAUUGCAAAGAUGAAGAUUGUAUUUUUAUAUACAUAAAGUGUCGUCAGUACUUAAAUGUCACUGUAAUAACUGCAAGUUGAAUGACAGUGAAUAUAUAUACGCGUGUGUGUGUCAGUGUGUGUGUCAUGGGUUGUUAAUUUGUGAUAAUUUAAUUUGAAAGUGACCUAACACCGAACUGCAUAUAAAAGAUUUCAAAUAGUUCAGCAGACAGCAGCGACCCUUGUGUAGUAAGACAGUAAAUGAUGGGCGGGAAAACAAGAAAAAUUGAUCAAAACAUACGGUUUUGGUUCUUCAUUAAAUAUUGCGACCAUCUAAUAAAAUAUAUGAUGACGGUUCUUCAUUCUUGAAGAGCACUGUGGUGCGGCUGCAGCAAACAAGAGGAGGGGAAUAUCCCCUUUCAAAAUUCUGGAAGGGCAAGAUUCUGAUGCAUUAUUUUUUAUCAUACAACAUGAUCAGCCCAAUAAGUUAUUCAAACAGGAAUCUCACGUCUUUAAAAAACUAUAUUUUGCACAUUAUAAAAUAUGAACUAGCUUUAGUUUCUUGCCAUGGAAGACUCGAUAGAGACGGCUGCUUAGUAUAUAAAAUUUUUGGGUUAUUAUUGUAUUGUUUGACAACCUCUAAGAAUUAUUGAGGGAAAUUGUUCCUCAAUCACCUCAAGACCUCAAGUAUUGAUUUUGUAUCAAUCAUUCACUUUAUCAUCUAAGAAGAUAAACUAGAAAGGGUUGUAAAUUUUUUUUUUUUUUUUUUUUACCGCCUUAUCUUUCCCAAAAAAAAAAAAAGCAUCUUUGGACUCAGCUUCAAUCCUCAUAUAAUGGUUUGGUGUACGCAGUAAAAGCAUGCAGUAGAGUAGAAACAAUGAACCACAAUGGACAAACCAAAAACAAGAAUCGAAUAGUAGUAUAUUUAUUUUAUAUCUUUUAACAUAAAUUAAAGCAUAUGUAGAGAAUGGAAUCUGGUAGUACACAUUACACACAGAUGAAUAUCCACGUAAAAUCAUGUAAAAGUAAUCCCUCCAAAAACAACCGCCUGGCGAGGUGCGCAUGCUGAAUGAAUAGUGAGGAAAAAGUCAGGGUUUGAACAACAAAAAUAAGCAACUCUGGGCACCGAUCACAUGACAGAGAUCAUAAAAAAAAAAAUGUUGAAAAUCACUCUCUCCAAGGUAUCAAAAUCCCUUGUAGAUGUGGUGGCAACAUCAAUCUUCAAAGUUGAUGAGAUUGGGCACAUGCAUGACACGAGAGAAAGAAGGCUGGCCGGCCCCAACCCGAAAGUUACAAUUCCAGAUAGAGAUUGAUCGCUGCUAUUUAAACAUGAAAAUGUUCCUGAAACUUGAGCUGCCACCACUAGUAUUUUAUAAUUGUUCUGAAUUUAACCAUUUUUUUUCUAUUCACUUACGUUUGUUGCUGUUUAAUUUGAUCUGUGGUGAUCUGUCAUUCCCUGCCUGCUUGAUUUAUCGUUUUUGACUGUGACUCGUCUUUACAAGUUCUGCAAGGGAAGUGAAAAAUCGUGUGUUUCCCAUCAGAGGAUUGACUACGUACUGCUGUAAUUGGCCUAGCACUGAGAUACUUUAUUAUGCAGUAGCUAGCCGUUUUGAUCAAUACUUUCACUGUACUGAGCGCCUUUGGUAUUGUUUUUGAAUUUAUUUUAUAGAAUAAAAAUGAUGUGUCUUCUUUGAGUUAAGUUUAAAAAUGCACUCGUUUCUUUGUUUCGAAAAUAAAAGGCGAAAUAUGUUUACAAGUCUAUGCGAUAAAAUUUUUGCUGAUGCAAAAAAAUAAUGCGUUUAGAGAAUAAUAUCCAAUUUCAUUCAAGACAUCAAAAAGUAAUUUGAAAUGGGAAGAUGGGAUGUGAUUGUGAUCCCCACGUAAUUAAACUUGGUCAGGAACGACAAUGUAAAGAACCGGGAGUGGUCCCCACAUGACAGAGAACAAAUUAUGAGAGCCGUCAAUUUUUUGUGCUCCUCCGUCUCCUUCGCAAAAAGUGGAGACAAAAAUAAUUCAUUCUCCAUGCAUUCAUCAGAAAUCACCCAGCAAACAGUUUUUCUGCAUUUUCCUUCUCCGAAAAUGAAGAAUGACUGGCUGAAAGAGUUACCAAACAGGCUCCGAAGUUUGCCUAUUUCUUCUAUUCUUUUCAAGAUCAAUUCAUUGAUUGAUCCAGAAAAUCCGUGAGCCCAAUUGGUACCGGCUGUUGAUGAGGACACUGACUAUUUCAAGUUUCCAUUAGAACUCUUUUCCUUCCCCCCUUUUUUUGUCUUUUUUUAAUAUAAAAUGUAGCGUAGAGGUGAUUUUCUUUGUAAAGUGCGUGUAAAUUUAUGAGAUAGUUUUGUAAAAUUUUGAGUUGUACUAAGAGUAAAUUUAUGUGUGUGUAUAUAUAUAGAGAGAGUAAUUUUCUGAUUUGAAAUUUUAAAAUGAGGGAAAAUUUAAAAAAAAUUUCAAUGAAAUUUUUUUGAAUUUUGCUGCACUUUAAAAUUUUAGAUUAUAUAUAAAGAAAAAUGUAUGUACUUAAACUCUUAAUAGGUUUCCCCUUGAAAAAAUUCAAAAAAAAAAAAAAAAACAGUGGCAUGGUUAAUUAAAAAUUUUAAACUCUUUGGAUUAUGAAUAAAAACCAGAACUCAUGCUAUUUAUUAUUAUUAUUAUUAUUAUUAUUAUUAUUAUUAUUAUUAUUAUUAUUAUUAUUAUUAUUAUUAUUAUUAUUAUUAUUAUUAUUAUUAUUAUUAUUAUUAUUAUAGAUUUUAAGAUUUAUUUAGUAUUUUAGAUUAUUUUACAUUUGUUGUUUGUGAUGCUAUUAACUUGGAUUGUUAUUAACAAUUAUUUUAGAUUUAGAGGUUGUUUGUUAAAUGUCUAAAGUCUGAAAUUUUAUUAAUUUCAGACAUUUUCUAAAAUAUGCUUGUUUGUUUUUUUGGACUUAUGUUUGAUUUUCAGACAUUUACAUCUUAAUAGAAAAAGUAAACUUUUGUGACUUUUAUUUGAAUGGAAAAAGGUCUGAAUGACAAGUAAAUAUUGUAUUCCAAAAGUAUCUCUGUAAAAUAACUUCUUUCCUAAACUAUAAAAUCUAAUCCUCUUUUUUUUUUUAAUUUAUAAGGACAUAAAUGUCAAAUAAUCAAGUUUAAGAUAUUUUUUUAUUGUAAAAACAAACAAGAUGCCACUUAUAUUCAGAUAUUUAAAAAAGAAAAACAAACAUGUCAUUCAGAUUUUCGUAUUCAGACCCAUUCAGACUUUAGAAAAAUUCAGACCCAUUUAGAUUUCAGACAAAAAAACAAACGCUACCUUAGUUAACAUUGAAUGAUUUUUUUAAAAAAAAAAGGUAAAAUGUUAUAAAUUUACAAAUAAAUAUUUUAAAUGUGCAAAUCUAGAUACUCAGAAUAUCCACUCAAAAUCUAAACCAAUACUAGGGACAUCCAGAUUUGCUUUAUUUUUUCAAAAAAUACUUGUUUAAAAUUCUUUAGUGGUAUUACAAAAUGAGUAAUGAUAUAGCCACAAACUCUUGUACAAACUUAUUUUGUACAAACUGAUGUGGCAUGAUAAGAUUGGUUGAAUUAAAUAUCACUUGGCCCACAUGAUUUGUUUUUAUUAUUUUAUAUUUUCAUUCAACCAAUGAAUUAAUGCCACGUCAGUUUGUACAAAAUAAGUUUGUACAAGAGUUUGUGGCUGUAUCAUUACUCUUACAAAAUAAAUGUAGGUAGUUCUGUCAGAUAUUUGAUCUUUUAGUAUAAACUACAUAUGAGUAAUUCAAAUUUUUUAAAAAAUAAAUAAAAGUCCAUUCUUAAGUCUUAACUAGUCACGCUGGCUGGCUUUUCACUUUUCAUUAUUAACAAAAACAAGCCCACUUUGGUCCAACCUAAUGCAAUCAUUGCGUGGCUAUCAUACUGUAGAUCUCGUUAUAUUAAUUAACAAAAUAAAGUCGCGGUCAUGUUCAUGUCACCCUGCAAGAAUUCUUGAUUAAAACAGGAUAGCUUAUGAGAAAGAAAGAUAUAUCAAAAGUGAGUUUGAGAAAUUGAAAUUAGAAUAAAAUUAAUAGGGUGACAAAUCAAAUUUGAAACCUUCACUCAAACAAAUACCAUAUAGCCGAAAAACUCAAACUUUGAAUAUGAUGAGUAAAAGACUAAGAAUAAUUUUAAUUAUAUAUGUAAAUAUUAAUUACAAGAUUAAAAUUAGAAAUCACCCAGGGAGAACUAGCUAGUGAGAUCACAUGGGAAACAUUUUCGGGGUUGAUUUCGUUGUUUAAAGAGUUGGAGUUGUUGAAUGGCAUUUGCAUGCUAAGGCGCACGGUGGUGGCCUGGUGAGUUGAGCGGCUGAGCAGCAGGUGAGAUUCUGAUUCCGCAACAAAAUGACACAAACAGAUCUUGUCUUUACUUGGCACCCAAGCCCAUGGAACGCUCUCUCAACUUGCAUUACCCGACACGAAUCUUGUUUUCCUGAUUGGGGAUUCUGGCGUAGUUUUUCGGAUGUCAGUAUAAAAGGACCGAGUUGUGUGGGUCAUCUAAAUUUUAGGAUCUAUUGGCACUUGGUGUUGGUGCCCUACAAUUACAAAUGCUUCUUUUAUUUAUUUAUUUUUCCCUCAAAUGCUCAAAUAACAAUAUAAUAUAAAUAUGAUCGGACUCCUACUCUACAUUAUUGGAUUUUUAUAACCCAAAAAAAAGAAAAAUUGUAGGGUUAUACAGAUAGCCGCCAAUUGAUCUAACUAGCAGAUCCAAAUUGGGUACCGGGGAUUCCUUAUCACAUGGCUGUGUCGAAAUUGAAUUAACAUACGAUUUUCAUGACAUUCAAAUAAUUAUACAACGUGCACGCUCUGGAACAUCAUUAAUUUUCUCGACGUGCAUCUUUAUUUAUUAAUAUUAUUUUACCAUUAUCAUUUACCCAGUUUGCAAACUAAAGCUGAAAAAAGAGUGCCAUCGAUCAUUCAAUGAGAAAAACAUGCCUAAUAAUGGGGUCCUAGCUAGUUAUUAUGUUGUACAGCAAAAUUUACUGAGGGGGACAAUUUUAACCGUCUGAUCAAUCAAACAAUCUCAGCGCGUCAAGCAUAGGAUGCUCGAGUAUUAUGAUAGAUACAAUGCUGGGCACGGCGGUGGGCUGAGGGUCCACACCGCGCAAACCAACACAAGGCCGGUCACCGCCCAUCUGGGUCCCCCAAACCCUAGCCACUUCCCAGAAUACGCCUAGCAUAGGUGCCUCAGUUUUCAGUAACACCACACCACCAUUUGUCAUCUUUAUUAGAAUGCAGUAUCGCAUCACCCCACCAGAGACAACUUGUGCAAACUAAAAACUGUUACCCAGACAUUAGCGAACUAUAUAAGCACGACUAUAUAUAUAGUGGCUCCCUUACGAUUUGUCUUCAUGAUUGUGAAACGUAUGAUAUUGAGAGCGAAUGGUGAUAAGGUUACUUGUUUACUUCACAAAGGACAAGUUCUUACAGGACCUACAUUUUGACCCUACCGCUCCUAUUCUAAUUAAUUUCUAAAUCGUCCAAUGUGCCCAUCACAAUUCACAGGCGACUACUGCUUUGCUUUUCUAUUUAAUAUCUCUGCUUCUCAAUCUCACCGCACAAGUGGGAUUAGUUUAAUUCACAUCAUUAACUAAUUAAGAACAUACCAAACCGUCAAUUUUGUCUUUCUAAUUAAUUAUUUUUAAUUGCUUGCGAUUAGUAUGCUUAUAUUAACCUGUCAAAGUCGGACACGCAAAUGGAAGGUGACAGCAUCGAGGAGCCCCCAACGACUGAAGCAUACACGUUUUGGGCAAUCAUAGGACGAUGAAGGUUCGUGCGCCCACGUGGAUCUUGGGGCCCUUAUUGGAUGCACUUGACCCAGUCAAACAACGUCGGUCAGAGUAAAUGCAAAUCUAACGUGGAUAAAUCUAAUCUUAACUCGAGUCUUAAGUCUCCUAUGGAGGAGUAAUACUUCGAGAUUUUAAUAUUGGAAUCUUAAUUUAAAUGUUAUGUAUCACUCUUUAUUUGGAUGAUAAAUAUUAUUUACAAAUUAUUUUAUUUUAUUAUCUAAUAUAUGAAUAUCAACAUUUGUUAGAAUUCAAAUGUUCAAAUCUUUAGUAUUACUCCAUCUAAAGUGUUCAAUCAAUUAAACAUAACGUGUGCAAUACAAUUGUGAAUUUUGAAUUUCUAAAAAGUAAUGUUAUAACUAUAAUUUUUUAUAUAAACUAAUAUACCAUUAAAUGAUUGUUAAAUAAAAAUAUAAAAUAAUAAAAACACAUAUUGUGGACUAAGUGAUAUUUUUAUUCAACCACUUAUAUGAUGUUAUAUAUGUUUUGACAAGAUAGUUUGUAUAAAAACGUUUAUAGCCGUAUCAUUACUCUUUUCUAAAACUUAUUUAUUUAUUUUAAUAAAACAUAUUGGCACUAUAAUUGAAAAAAAAAAUUGUGGAAAUCCUCUCUAAAUAAUUUUGUUGUAGUGCAAUGCUUCAAAAUAUUUGAUUAAAUAAUUUGAAUCCUUUUAUGACCUAAACUCUCUAACGGUUCUGUAAUUGAGUUAGUUAAACACCUUCUUUUUUCAUCCUUGAGAUGUAUGGGUUCAAAUCUCUUCAUAAAUGUGAGAGUUUAUUCAAGUCUAUUAAUAGAUCUAAGAGUUUAUUUAUUUAUUAUUUUCUUCAAUUUUUUUAUUUUUAUAGAUUUCAGCUUUGACAUCAAGACAGUCUCCUAUAGGCAUUGCCUUGGUCCUAGCAAAGUUACUGAGCUAUAUUUAUUAUUAUUUGUAUUGUACUCUAGAGUGUCAGUUAUAAGGAUACAUUUGUAUGUAUGUAUGUAUGAGAUUUUAAAAAAUUUUAAAGCAUUAAAAUUUGAAAGGAUAAAUUUUGGAUUAUUCCCUCAUAAAUUAACUAUUUUUAAGUCAAUUCAUUAUUUUUAAAAACCUCAAGUUAUCCUCAAAAAUCAUCAUCUCUAUCAUUUUUAACGGUCAAAAGGAUAAAAUGAUGUUUGUACAUAACAAAUCUCUAUUUAGGUUAAUUUUCAUUAGAUCCAAAUGUUUCACAAAAUUUUAACACAGCUAAUUAUUUCAAAAAAUACAGUAUACACCCAAAUACUUUAAAAAUUUUCAAUUUUCACAUUUAAAAGAAUAUAUUAAAAAUAGAUAAAGCAAUAAUUAUUAAUGAAAAGAAUAACUUAUAGAGCAGUGCAACACAUCCUAAAUUUUUUAUCCUAAAAAUUAUUUUGAAAAUAUGCUAUUUAUCAAUUAAUUAUGAGAUAAUACCAACUAUUUCACUUAGAUCUUGUAAAAAAUUACUAAGCAUUCAAUUAUAACAUAUUAUCUUAGAUGAAAUUUGGAUUAAAGUAUUUAGAUGCGUAUCAUUACUCCAACCUGUAUAACUCUUAAAGGAAUUUCCUUAAAAAAAAAAAAAAAAAUUCUUCUUCUUUUUUGUCGUCUUCUUCUUCUCAAACACUCAUCAUGGCCUUAGUGUUAACAGUACUCCCUUGUUUAAUAACCAUUUCGUUAAGUAGAUCCUGCAAUCUAAACAUCUUCUUUUUAAAACCCUAAAUUCUUCUCAAAUUCACCAUUAAACCCUAACACCAAGUUAAUCAUUAAUAUUUCAACACCCAUAUUCGUUGGAAUGGGUUUGCUUGGUUUGGCUUGGAUUGAAUGAUUUAUGUUGUUAAUUUGACUAGAUUUUGCCUGUUAGGGUUUUAAAUUAUGACUUAGAUUGGAAUAUUGUGGAAAAGUGAAAAGUUUCCCUAAGAAAGAGAUGAAGAUAAUGGAUUCUGGUUUUCCAAAUUAGGGAUUUUGUCACUUACUGUAAGUUUAUUAUUAUUUUUUUAUGAGUCUUACAUGUUUGACUUAGUGGAGGAGGUAUUUGACUUGGUCAAAGUGUGUUAUAAUUUAAUAAGUGAGUUGUUGAUAUUUAUUUGAGACUAUAUAAAGGAAAAAUUCUACAUUAUAUCAUAAGUAACAUGUCAGUUAUAUAAUAAAUAAAUAAUAUUAUGAUAUAUGUGUAUUUAUUUUAAAAAUCGUACAAGUGGUAUUUACAUUAAAUUUAAUUACAUAUAUACGUUAAUUGAUUGUAUUACCUUUAAUGUAUUAUACAAUUCUCCAUUAAAGAGUGGAUUCUUUGGUGUGGGAUUAGUUUCAAUAUAAUUUGUAAUUAUUAUUAAAGAGGAGAAAUGUUUCUUUAUAUUUUAAAAUUAAUUUUUUUAUUAGGUCUCCAAAAGCAGACAUAAAUGGGUAACAUAAGUAAAUAAAUGCGGUGAUGGGGGUAUUUUAGAAACCCUAAGGGGAUAAGUGAUAGAUGUCUUUAAUAGUAGGUGUAAAAAACUAAGUUAAUAUAUUCUGUUAUUAGGAGGCAUUUUCAUAUUUUAACAAGUAAAUAUGGUAAUCAAUCGUUAAGAAUGAAUCUUUUUAAAGAUAAUUUUAAAAAUUUUAAAAAUUAAAGGAGUAAUUUUAAAAACACUAAUUACAAGUUAAUCCGAGAUUUAGCCAACCUGAAAAUCUGAAAUGACCGAAAUUAGUAACGAGUCAAAAUUAUGAUAGACCAUCCAAAUUUGGCAAUUCUACUCUCUUGACAGGCACACUUCCAAAAACCAGGACCCCUUCAACACGUGUGACAACGAUCAACUCUCUUGCACGUCUCCCACUCCCACCAAUCACCAUAAAAAUAAAAAUAACGAAAUUCAGAAAAAAUGAACUCCAAAUUAACAUGAAAUGCGCGCAGUUGGUGUCGCUGUUAUUGCAACGAAAGCAACUUCUAUAUAUACAUGCCCACUACACCAAAACACAACCUAUGCUCUUAUGCCAUGAGCUCCUAACUAAUAAUGGACUCAUAAUAAUUCUAACAACUUGUUUUUAUUUCUUGAUUUUGUAACGUUAAUUAUUAGAUAUUCUUUUAUUUUAUUUUUUCUUCUUUCGUUUCUGGUUCUAUAUAUUUAGGAUGCUCCAUGGCGAAGGGCCGGAAAUUGACAACGAGCAGAAGCGAACGGUAUUUGGGAAGUUACAGCUACAGUAACGGUCAAGGGACAAACGGCGGCGUAUCGGAGCUUGGCGAGGAGGAUGUCUGGUCGACGGUUGAUGACGUUGAGGACAGUAACGACGAGGUUGUUAUAAAUAAUCCAAGAAACGAGUGGAGUCCACGCGCUGCGGGGGAGAGUAACGUGGGCUUUUCUACUAGGAGCCGGCGAAGGAACACCAGGGAUGAUCACCACGUGGGUGGCCUAUCGCUGGCUUUUGAUGACGCGGGCAAAACGUCGGCAUCUAGGAUAGUGCAUCAGUUCAGGGCGAAUGACAGCAUGGCUGCAUCGCCACGUGGGCAUCAAAUGGCCACGUCAGCCCCGGUGAACGUCCCUGAUUGGAGCAAGAUUUACCGGGUUGACUCGGUCGACUCGAUGCAUGACUCUGAUGACGAACGGGACAUGGAGAUGAUUCCUCCUCAUGAGUACUUGGCUCGUGAGUACGCGAGGAGCAAGAAAACGGGUGGCGCAUCGGUUUUUGAGGGCGUGGGUCGCACGCUCAAGGGCCGUGACCUCCGGCGCGUGAGGGAUGCAGUGUGGAGCCAGACUGGGUUUGACGGCUAAGCAAAAUUAUUUUCGACCAAAAAAAAAAAAAGAGCUUCUAGUAUUACUAUGAUUGUUACAUAUACAGAUUAUCCUGAGCAAUGAUUCGGUUGAGUCAACUCAGUCCUAGCCCAUUUGACUCAGCAGGGAGUGAGCUCAAGCACCGUUCUGUCAUGGAUGAACUAGUGAGCUGAAAAUGAAACGUGGAAUUUGUGGUCCAAUAUUUGUUCAGUGGCAUCAAAUCUUAUGCGUCUGAAAUCCUGAAUCUUUCUAGAUGAAACGGGCAAGCGUAAUAUGGCCAAAAUUUUUUGCACCCAAAAGAUUAAAUAACAUAUUAGUGCAUGCAUACGAUUAGUAAGUCAAUUAUUACACUAAAAAUCUCCCAGAAGCAUAAUUUCAGGAAUUACACUCGGUUUUAGCACUUAACAGAGUAAGAAAAAGUAGUACCAAAUGACAAGUACUUGUGAAAAUUAGUUAGUGUAACCAAGUUACUCAUAAUUUGUGGUUAUUGCAGUUGAUGUGGCAGUGGCACAUCUUGAUGCCAAAGUUCCGAGAUAACACAAGAGAGAUUGAUGCGGGUAAUUUGGAAGACAGAUCAAAGAAUCAAAUCUGAAAGUACAGAAAUGGGUUAAGUGAACUUAAAUGGGUAAUAAAAUUAAAGAUAUUGCAAACUGAAAUUGGUGACAAAUAAUUGUUAGGGAGGGGUGGGGGACCAAUUCAACUUCAGGUAGGUGACGGACUGAGAAUGGGGGUCACAUUGGGCGCAAGUUGACAAAGUCAAGUUUUCAUAAAAUAGAAAUUGGGGUGAUUUGAUAAAAACAAUGUGUGGGGUUCGGAUUCAUUAUCAUUAUGACUUGCCUUUUACAAGAAAAAGGACUUGAACCUUUCUAUUGUGCUCACAACCCAUAUCAGUUUUGAGCCAUUGGUUUGUUUUUUUUUUUUUUUUUUGCUUUUUACUUCCUCCACUCUUUGUGCAAUCAACAUAUGCUAUGCUGUGAGAUAUUGGAUGUACAUUCAUUCAGAGGGCCCAUAUGUAUGAUCAUCAUCAUCAAUCACCAUGAUAAAAAUAAAUAAAAAAAUAAAAUAAAAAAUCACAUUCUCGUAUUUAGAGAAGGAUUUGAUUAAAUAAGAUGUAACAAAACGGUAGAUCCAAAACUUGUAACCUAAUUUUAGUGGAGGUUUUGAUUAUUAUAGUCAUUUUCAUAACAAAAAUGUUCAAAACUAAACGUUAUCAAUAGUUACUGUUGCUUUGAAACUAACUGUCAUGUUUCCAUUUAUUUUAAAGGAUCUUGGGAUUCGAGAGUUAUCAACUUAUCAUACAAUCUAAAUUCUAGCAUAAUUAAUGGUGCAUUUGGUCAACUGAACUAGCGGUAUUAUAUUAUAGUGUACUGUAUUAAUAUAUUAUUGUAUCGUAUAAAAUGAUAUUAUUUUAUAUUACUCUUAAAAUUAAAUUAAUAUUAUUUAAAUUUAUUAAUGUUUUAGGGUUUUAUUAUUAAUUUUUGAAACUAUGUUUUAGAUAAUUAUUUACCUAUAUUAAUAUUUGUAAUAUAAAAAUAUUUAAUAAUAUACUAUUAUUCUAUAAUACAACAUUUAUAUUACAAUAUAACUAUUUCUAUACAUUAUUAUUAUGAUAUAGUAUAGUUUACUAUUACAUUGUAAAAAUUUAACACUAUAUAAUUUAAAUAGUAUAAUAUAAAUUAUAUUAUAUGAUAAAACAAUAUAAUGUUAAACUAAAAAAUAGUUUUAUAUAUUAAUGCCGAGUAUAAUUGUUUAAUAUAAAUUUAAGUAAAUAAUUACUGAUUAAAUAAAAGUUAUAAACUUAUUCUUGUUUAUUAAGUAAUAAAUAAUUAAAUAUAAUUAAUAUACUUUUUGCGUAAUUAAAUAAUUAAAAUGAUUUUAUGUAAUGAAAGUAAAAUAACGUAUUAUCAUUUGUUUAUUAAAUAUUUAGGUCUACUACUAUCGUAUAUUAUUAUUUAAAUUAAAAUUUUAUUUAAAUAAUGAAUAUUUGAUAAAUUUAAAUUUAAAUGAUUAUCUUUAAAAUAUGAAUAGCAUUUUAAUGCAAUGCAACCUAAACCUUUUCUUCUCUCCCCAUGAGUUUAUUUUAUACACUUUUCAUUAUAUUAGUCGCCUUUUUAAUGCAUAGCAAUAUAAUAUAAUGUAAAGUGUUCAAACGCAUCCUAAAUAAAGAAAUGAAUCAUGUGCCCGGCGCCUAGCAGCAAAGUUGUGAAGAUGCGUGUAUUUGUAAGAACUUAGAAGCAAAUUGUAUUUUAAAUUCAUGAUUAUAUAAGAUAAGCACAAUUUCACUCGUUAAUUUAUUCGCUAAUUAAGAAUAUUCAUGCUCAUCUUGACCAAUCCAUUGCACUCGCAUGUGCAAAUAUGUGCUCUUGUGCAAUUCAUUCACCAGAGAAAGGGAGGACUUGGCCCAUCUAGUACUCCAUUUGGUCCUUGAAAUAAAGGGCAGCCCGAAGUAGGCAUUGGCAAGCGUGAGCCCAACCUGAUAAUACAAAUAAAAGGCCCGAGUCCGAUAAAAAAACCUGAUUUUUUUGCCUUAGCCCGACCCUAAUUUGGUCUGGAAGUCUGAGCCCGACCAAUUUUUUUUAAACUUUUUAAUAUUAAAUAAUUUAAAUUUACCUCCCCUAAUUUAUUAAAAUUAAACAUAAAACUUACUCUAAUCAAUAUCUCAACCAUAAAAUCAUAUAAAUAAUUAAAUAUAAAAAAAGAACCAUGUCUAAUUCAAAUCAAAACACACUUUUUUUUUAAUUAUUAAGUGACCGGGUCAGGUUAGCUAAGGCCCGAACCCUGACCCAAACUUGAUUGGGAUAUAAUUUUUAAAUCUAAACCUGAAUUUUAAUCUUUAAAUUUGAACAACACACUUUUAAGGAGGCCUACGAAAGUCAAAAGAGACAACACACUAACCUCUAACAUUGUCAAUUCGGGGAGGAAUCUCUCCUUCAUGGCUACCGGAGGGUCCGGUCCAGUCCAGUGUUGAAAAAUAAGGCUCAGAAUUGGGCACUCUAACCCCAAAAGCAUCCUGUGAUCAUUUUAUAUAUGCCUUUAGAAAUCUUCAAAGUUAUGGCCUGUCAGCAAGAUGGAAUCACUAGAUAAUUGAUUUAUUUAAUAUUAGAUGUUAGAGUAAAAACUGUGGUGCGUUGCGUAGAUUUUGAAACCAGAGAGAUCACAGAGAGUUGCCAAAGCCAUGACUCUAUAUACGUACAUGUCUACUACCAGCCCAGUCCCCUCCCCAACAACCAAAAAAAAAAAAAAAAUGCAGGAAAAUUUGCUCAAAAGCUUAAACGAAUAAUGAAUACUUAUUAAUUAGAGAGAAGGACUAUAUAUAUAUAUAUAUAUAUAUACAUACUACUUGCAAGUAUAUAUUGCCUUCAUUUUAUUUUUGUCAUGAAAAUUUCAUUUCAUGGACCACUCGCACUUCCAAUGGAGCAAAAUGAUUUUUCUACCAACUUUACUUUUCCCUCUCGUCCUGUUGUUGUUAGCAUCAAACAUGAAAAAUCUUAUUUUGUGAACCUUAAGUUUUCUCUAUAUAUAGGUGUCAUGUUUGAGAUUGGAGUACUAUAAUUUUUAAAUUACAGCUGUUGUGGGAAAAUUAAAAAAAAAACUAUAACUAUGAAAUAAAAGUUAAUAGUAUGUAGUAAAUGUUAAUUUUAAAUAAUAAUUUUGAUAAAAUUAUUCAAGAUAUAAUAAAUUUUUUAUCGUGAAAAAUCAUAUUAACAUAAUUUAUAAAUUACAUCAAUUAAUGUUUACCAAACACUACUCAAUCUUAAUCUCAAGCAGAACCAUAAUAAAUUAUCCAUUUUGAAGCCGCAACUCUUUAGCUUAUAUUUGUGAAGUGAACCAAUUAAAGUGUUCAAUAAAUAUCAUUACAUGAUGAUAGCUGUGAGUGAGUGCGGAUUAGUUUGGGUUGAGAAAAUUCAAAUUACGAGAUACUUUCUUGAGAGAGAUUGUCAUUGGUGAGCAAGAAUGAAAAAGUUUCAAACAAAAGGAAAUACUUCCUCACUAUAUAUGUAAUCUUGUAUUUUAAUGAAAUGCCUUAGAUAAGCAUCCUAGAAUAAGAUUAAGAAGUGAUAAUUAAUUAGCUAAUAUAUGAGUAGUAGCAAUACGUAUUUGAAAAUAAGGGUUAAGAGUAACAACAGAAGAAAACGUAACAAAAGUCCCAUCUGUUUUGCAAGAAUACGUAUACAUGCUGGUGUGUAAGUAAGUUUACAGCUAAGACGUGAGCAAACUUGGCACAAAUUUAGGGCACGAUUCUUGCGACAGCGUAAAAGCACCCAAACACAAGUGCAAUAACAAAUGGCCCAGCCAGCUGCGACAUUACACAAACAGACAAAACACCUUCUAGGGGGUGGUGGUGGUGGUGGUGGUGGUGAUAAGAACCAAUCAACUUAUAAAUCUUUCGGCUUCACCCUAAAUUAUCAAUUAUGCACCUCUGCCGGCUUGCCACAUACCCCCACCACAUCUCCCAUUAAGCAACAUUUCCUUUUCAUAGCAUUAUUUUUCUCAUCUUUUAAACUAAAAUAAACCCAGUUUUCAAAAAUAGAAUAAAAAAGUUGGUAAUGUGCUGCAAGUAAUAUUUUUUUUUUAACUCCCUUUAUUUAUUGACAUUUUCUUAUUAUAUAUUAUAUUGGGUAUUAAAAAACAGAAGAAAACAUACAUGAUAAUAACAAGAUCAGAGAUUUGCCAAACCGAAAAGCCCUUUUUAUUUGAAAUUAAUACUUUUAUUGGCAUGAUAUCUUAAUGCAGAUAGUACUUCUCUAAAAUAUUGAAAAUUAUAUAUAUUACUUAUUAGCAUUUAUUACAAUAAAUAAAUAAUUUUGUUCCCUUAAUUUAGAGGAUAAAAUGCCGGUAGGGUCAAAAUAAUAAUGAUGAUAUAGAAAUAAUUCAUUCUCAAAUUUUCUCUCAAAAUCAAAUUUCAGCUCCUCCACUAUAAGACUCAAUAUAUAUAUAUAUAUAUAUAUAACCCCUAAUAAGAAGAACACUUAUAGUCUUUGUUUGUCCAUAUUCAACUCUCCCGUCAUUUUUUUUUUUUAAUAUCCAAACUUGAACCUUUUCACAAACCCAAUUCCCAAACUUGAAUCUUUUUCUUCAGAAUCCAUUUUUUAAUUUUUAAUUUUUUUGAUUUAAUCAUCUUGAUCUCAUCAGAUAAUGGGUUGCUGGGGCAGCAAGGAAAGAGUUCCUCCAUCUGAUAUGAAUGGCUACAGAUCAAGCACUGCUCAUUCAAGUCAUCAAGCAACUGGCGUUGCAACACAAACCCCUUAUCAAACUUAUCAACAACAGCAGCAGCAGCAACUACACGUGCAGCCUCCUAAAAUGUCUGCCCCACAGCCACAACCAAGGCAGCAACCGAUGAAAUCUUCUGCAACAAGCACAAGGCCAGUGCAAAAGCCAGAAACAGUGCUGGGCAAGCCUCUAGAAGACAUUAGACAAUUUUACACAUUAGGGAAAGAAUUGGGUAGAGGCCAGUUUGGAAUCACAUAUUUGUGCACUGAGAAUUCAACAGGCAAUAGCUAUGCAUGCAAGUCAAUUUUAAAGAGGAAGCUUGUGAAUAAACAAGAUAGAGAGGAUAUAAAGCGAGAGAUUCAGAUAAUGCAGCACUUGUCUGGUCAACAAAAUAUUGUUGAAUUUAGGGGUGCUUACGAGGACAGACAAAGUGUUCAUCUUGUGAUGGAGUUGUGUUCUGGUGGUGAGCUUUUUGAUAAGAUUAUUGCUCAGGGGCAUUAUACCGAGAAAGCUGCUGCCGCUCUUUGUAGGGCUAUUGUUAAUGUGGUGCAUCAUUGCCAUUUUAUGGGAGUUAUGCAUCGUGAUCUUAAGCCUGAGAAUUUCUUGCUGUCUAACAAAGAUGGGGGUGCUAUGUUGAAGGCAACCGAUUUUGGACUCUCUGUAUUCAUCGAUGAAGGUGGCAUUUUUUUUGUCUGUCUGUUAGUUAAAUUUUCAGUUUCAAGUUUUAAUUUUGUCGAUUUGGCUUUGUAAUAUUUAUGCUUAUAACAUUUGUUUUGUUUUGGGAGGCUGUUUGAAAAAUUGUUUUAACUACUGUGACAUUGUGAAAUUUGUUAGGUUCUGUAAUGUUGAAUUCUGUUCAUUGGCUUGGAUUUGUGGUAAAGAAGAGUUGAAUUUAUUGUAAUCAUAGGCUGCAUUGGAUGAAAAGAUAUAGUGGUCUAAUUUUAGUCCCAACUGUGCUUUCAAGAUGAGAGGCCUCUUGCUCAUUGUCAGUCAUUGACAGACAAUUAAAUUCGGAAUCAUAUCCUGCUGAUUGGACUUGUCAAGUUGUUAUAUUGAGAAUUUUGCCUUACUGCUUGUUUUUCUUAAUGCAGCUUCUUUAAUCUUUUACUUUUGAUGGCUUCAAAUCAUUUUUGGAAUUUUACAUGUUAUGUGUAAUUUAACCGUGAACUUAAUUCACCUUGUCUGGAUACUUAUCCCAGGGAAAGUGUAUCGUGAUAUAGUUGGCAGUGCUUACUAUGUUGCUCCUGAAGUAUUGCGGCGUAGUUACGGAAAGGAAAUAGAUGUAUGGAGUGCAGGAGUUAUUCUAUAUAUUCUACUUAGUGGCGUUCCUCCAUUUUGGGCUGGUAAAGGAGAUGAUACUUUUGUGUUAUUUUGUUGAAUCCUGUCAGAUUCUCUUGUCAGCUGCAUGUUAUCAUUUAUGAUCAGUAAUAUAUUCAAUUUGUUCACAUUGCAGAGACUGAAAAGGGAAUAUUUGAUGCUAUUUUGAAAGGAGGUGUUGACUUUGAAAGUGAACCGUGGCUGUUAAUAUCAGAUAGUGCCAAAGACCUAGUCAGGAAAAUGCUGAUACAAGACCCUAAAAAAAGGAUCACUUCCGCUGAAGUUCUUGGUAAUUAAAUUAGCCCUGUUUUACUUAGCUCUACUGAAACUAAUGUGUAAGAUGAAAGUCACUAUAUCAUGCUUUAGAGAAAUUCUUAAUAGUAUCUUUUCAGGUCCAUUUAACGAGACUUUGUUCCGUAUAACUUGUCUUUUAUUUCGUUUGACCGUCAUUUUUUAGAUUGAAAUUCUUUUCACCUAGCUGUUGAAUCAUUGAAGAAAGAAACAUCUUUUUUAUGGGGCAGUAUAAGGUUGAAUUUUGAAAUUUACAGCAAGAGCAAAUAGCUGGUGUAAAUCAUUUUUCUCAUUUGUCAGUCAACCAAUUCUAUCUUUUUGCUUUUAUUUCGCAUUACAUUCAUGCAACUUAUGUGCUUCUGGCUAAAAAUGUUUUAAUCUGUAUGGCCAGAGCAUCCAUGGAUGAGAGAAGGCGGAGAAGCAUCUGACAAGCCGAUAGGUAGUGCAGUUCUAUCUAGAAUGAAGCAAUUCAGGGCAAUGAAUAAGCUUAAAAAGAUGGCAUUGAAGGUAAACUAUCAAACUGUGUUAAUUUUUUAUUUUCAGUUGAAAGAAAAAUUUGAUAAAUUGCUACUUAAAAUUCCCUGAAAAGGGUCCAUUUCUUUUCACAAGUCUGAUUUAAAUAUCUAACUUGAUUCCUUUCUAAUAAAACAAAAUCCAUGAAAGUGCUAUGUACUAUUUAUUUAAGAAUUAGGUCGGGGGCAAACCCCAAAUUGGUCUUUUAGCCCCCUACCUCUUCUAAGAUUCAAACUGUUUGACCAGCCAAAGAAAGCUGCUUGAAAACCAUUUAGUCAAUCCCCUGGGGCCCUUGAAAGUGCAAUGUUGGAAUGAUUUUUUGUUCAUACUUCUGGUGAACGGGAACCCGGGGUAGAUGAAAUCAUGAUUCGUUUGUAAUGCCCAUUCAGCAAAGAAACCUGAAAUCAGCAUUCCAUAGGGGUUUUGUUUUAUACUAUUACCACCCGCCGCCUCAGCAAUCACCCAGCUGACAAUGCUGCAGCUGCCAUUAUCCUCGCAUCAUCAUCACCGCUGCCAUCGCUCUCCUUUCUAUAUUGUCACAUACCACCAACUGGCUGCUGUAUGGUAUAUCGAUCUUCAUCUAAUUAUGUUGGUGAAUUUUGGAAUUCAUACAGGUCAUUGCAGAAGCUCUAUCUGAAGAAGAAAUUAAAGGCCUUAAGACAAUGUUCGCAAACAUGGAUACUGACAAGAGCGGUACAAUCACUUACGAAGAGCUGAAGACGGGUUUAGCUCGACUUGGGUCGAAACUCUCAGAAACAGAAGUUAAACAACUCAUGGAUGCUGUAAGUAUUUGAGGUCCCUACCACACCUCAAACUUUUGACUGUUGAAUAUUCUUCACUUUUCAAACUCAACUGGCAUUCUUCUUAUCACUGUUCAAUAAAUUCCAGGCCGAUGUGGAUGGAAAUGGGACAAUUGACUAUAUCGAAUUUAUCUCUGCUACAAUGCAUAGAUACAGACUGGAAAGGGAUGAGCACCUUUAUAAAGCAUUCCAGUAUUUUGAUAAAGAUAAUAGUGGGUGAGCUCUCAGUUUCCCUUUAUUUGUAAUAGUAGCCAUCUUACUAUUUGAUCUCAUACUACAUUUUUAGCAUUUCAUCAAGUUUCAGCUUAUAAACAAUAAAGUAGCAGAUAAUCCUUCAUUUUAUUUUCCCAUUCCUUCAAAAAAAAAUAUAACUGGAUUAAUAGUAACAAUGUGUCCAUACUAAGUUUCAUCUAAUUUAUCUACAUCUGUUCUGUAUUAUUUUUCUCUCACCACUAUCAAAUGUCUGAGAUGUAAGAAACAUAAUUAGAUUUCAUGAAUAAUUCUUUCCUUUUCCCAUGUUCUCGGCUGGGCAUGUUUCCAGUUUUAAAUCAGUGAGUUAUAUGGUUCGAGCUGUAGUAGCUAAUGAAAUCUGAGGUCUGCUUGGUUGACUAAUAAAUGGGUAAAAUUAACUGGGAAAUUCUGGAGAAGUUAUUCUUCACUAGAGUGUUAUCCGAAUGUCUUGUAUGACUAAUUAAAUGAACUGUGUGAUGUAAACUUUCUGGUAGAUACAUUACAAGAGAUGAGUUAGAAACAGCGAUGAAGGAUUAUGGAAUUGGAGAUGAAGCUAGCAUCAAGGAGAUAAUUUCUGAGGUUGAUACAGAUAAUGUAAGAUUUUAAGGAUUCAUAAACUUUAAAGAUGUCUCAGAGAAUCAUUACCGGUUCUGAUGCCAAUUGAACUUACAGGAUGGGAGGAUCAACUAUGAGGAGUUCUGCACAAUGAUGAGAAGUGGGACCCCACAGCCUGCAAAACUCAUUUAAAUGCCUAAUCAAUCAAGCGAGCUGCUUGAUUAUGUUUACAGUAUCCAUAGAAAUCUGGGCAUCCUUCACUCUGGUAUUGCUUUGCCAUCUUCAAUUGCCAAGUUUGGCUGUUAAAGCUUGCAAGGCUACCGGUUUAUCUUCACUUGUUGCUAAAUUAGUAUUUGUGCAUAUCUUAUUCUUUAGCUAGCUUGACCAGAUUCUAGUGAACCUACAAAGCCCUUAGGGAAAGAGUUACAUAUUUGUGCCCUGUGGACACUGAAGAUAUGUUGCUGAUUUUAUUUCCUUGAUAACUCUAUUUUAAUUUUGCACCCGAUGUUAUUGAUCAACUCGUUGGGAAACCAAAGUGAUGUGGUUAUUUGCACUACAUUAUGCACUGCUUAAAGUUUUGAGAAACCAGAGUAACUUUCACUGCUUAAAGGGCACUUAAAACAGAAUAUUGGGUUAUUGAAACCAGAGCAAGAAGAUCAUGAUACUGUAUGUUACAUCUUGCCACAUAUUGUCUUGCUCCACUCCCAUGAUUUCCCAUUUCAAAAGUCGCCAAAAGAACUUUAGACAAAAAUAAGAAAUAUUUUCUUACUAAACACACUCCUCAAGACAAAAAUAAGAAAUAUUUUCUUACUCCAGCCAACUUGCAAUUCUUUUGCUACAAGCUUCUAUAAAAUAUUUGUACACAUCAAUAAAACUAGAUAGCCAGUUAUCAAGGAGUCGUGUGUACUCAUUACAGAAUUCUUUUACUUUUAUCCAACACUUUUUCCAGGGAACCCAAUGAAGAAUAAAUAAAGCUUUUGUUUUCCUUCAAUUGAUCAACCCUGAAAUGUAGAAGCAUUUGCCUUGCCCAAAUCAAUAGACAAUAUAUGCUUUUGAAAAAUGGUACAAACAAACAAGGGCUGAAUUGUAUCUUAAUAGUAUCAGUAAUUAAAAUAUUUAAGUUACCUUUCCACGUGAGGUCGUUUUUGUAUAUUGUUAUCUGUACCCCAUUAAGCAAUAAGCAUAUUUAUUUGCACGUGUGCACACAUUUUCUAUAUACCUGGGAAAAGCCAAAGGCUUCAUGUCAUAUGGACUCGAUAGUCGAGACAGGCUGCUAGCUUUCUAAUCUUUUUCUUCAAUUAAUCAUAGCCAUAACCCCAUUCAGUCAGUGAAUUUUUUUUUUUAAAUUUUUUGUAUGACUUUACUGAUAAUUAAAGCACAGUUCUUUUCAGGAUGCCCAAAGUGCAAUUUACUGUGACAAGGGAAUCUGUCGACUGUCGAUUUGAAAACAGGCUUUGGCAACAUUCAAAAAUGGAAACAUUUGCUAUCCCAGCUGCGAAAGAAUAGCUGUUAACUAUUGAUCAUGACAUUCUCAAUUUAGAUUGGGUUUAUCUGAGUUAGGUUAGGUAAGUGAUUAUUUUUUUUACAUGUUAGUUAACUAAUCUUUGGUAAAUUAUAAUGCUGAAACAGUGCCUAGGAUGCUCUAAGCUUUGCUUCAGAAUAAAAAUGGGGCACAACCACGACACUCAGCACAAGAAGACAUUGCUGUUGUUAUUAAAUCUUGCACGAACUGUUUUAUCAAAUAAACUUUAAGCGAUGAAUUUUAAUGAAUUAAUUGAAGUUCGAUUAUAAGUGAUAGGACAAAGACAAAGCUCCAGCUCAGAUAUUAAGCAUAACUUGUACCCCAUCUUCUAGUAGAUACAUUUUCUUUAGAGAAUCAUUUUCUACAUUUUUUAAGAGCUACCUCACAUGAAUGUAAAUAAAAAAAUUCUCAUCAAUUCUAACGUGUGCGCGUUCUUGCUUCACAUGUGUUGUACUAUCUAAUAGCCAACACGUUUAAUUAACACCUCUGUUCAGGUGAAGGUAAAUUUCUAUAAAAUGAAAGGAAUAUAUUCAUCGAAAUUGUUAGUAAAUGAAAAUGGUAAAAUCAUUGUUCAUCCGAGGUUUUGUCAGUAUUUGAAAACAUUAAAAAAAAAAAAAUUGAAUUUAUUCUAGGAUCCACCGAUUAUUUGGAAAUUGUAUUACGUUCUAUCUUAAGGUACAUUAUUAUUAUUUUUUUUAUGAUGUCACAGGUAAUCAAGGGGGAAAUGAAAAAGAAAAAGAAAGAUAAGAAUCCAGUAAAAAGGAAAAAUGGAAAAGAAAAGAAAACAGACAGUUGAUAUUGGGUUGAGAUUGAAAGAGAGAGAGAUAGAGAGAGGCGCACGUGGGAUUGCAUGCCUCACUCCUCGCCGUUGUUGUUUCCCUUUACAAACUUCAAAUAUUGCUGAAACCAAAACUUUAAAGAUUUUCGUCCUUCUUCAUCAAUCAUCAUCACUGUUUUGAGUUUAAACACUGCUUCUUCUUCUUCUUCUUCUUCUUCUAGUUUAUAAAUCUAAGAACUUUUAAUUUGCCAAUUAAUAUCUUUCCGUUCAGAUAUUAUAAAUCAUAAAGCUUUGCAUGUUGCUUGAAAUUAAACUUUAGAGAGUUUUGACUUAUAUUGAUAGUCAUCAUACAUAUACAGUAGUGUGUCAACAUUGCUCUCUUUUGAUGACAUUGAAGCAAAAUCCUUCAGGCAAUGAAACAACAUCUUUCAGAAUCACUUUUUUGAUAUCUCCUUGAAGUAAAAUACUUUCGAGUGUUAGGCUUUGUACUGCACUCCAAUUUCAUUCUUUCUUUUUUUUAAUAUUUGGAGCAUUUCUUGGAGUUUUUGAUUAGUGAGUACCUUUCAUUUCUUAAGCCGGUGUAUUUUGAAAAGGGUAUUUUAGGGGGAAAAAAUAAUUAAACAUUUGUUCUUCAAUGGUGGAGCACCAAUCUUGUGCUGGUGUGAUAAAUGCUUCUGCAUUGUGUGGUAUAGAGCAAGAAGUGAAAGGAGAGGGUGUUAAUGCUAUUGCAGAGAUUUCAGCUAAGUUACAAAAAGAGAGACAAAAGAAUGCUCUACUUAUGGAGAGAAUAUCGUUGCUUGAAGCUCAAAUACAAGAAAGAGAUAAUGCAAACGUAUGAUUUGCAUACUUUAUAUUUGUGAUUCUUUUUUUUUUUGGGGGGGUGGUCUACUUUCUUGGCUUCUGCAAUUAAUGCUCUUUAAUAUUAACUUGAUUUUGAGCUCAUUAAUCCUUUACUUUGCAGCUAAAGCUUUUGAGCCUUGUUUUCUUCUAAAUUUUUAUUGAAUGGCUCUUUCACGUGGAUCAGGUUAUGAUUUGAUCGUCUUCAUUCAUAUGAAUAACUCAUCUGCAUUUGUUUGUGAAUUAGUUUGAUCAGAAUUGUGUGGAAACUUAUGUUGCUAUUAAUUGAGCUACCCAAUAAAAUUCAUAUGGGGGGUUAUUGUUGAUGUCUGAUCUCCUAUUUUACAUAAAGCAGUCACAUUCAUCAUUCUUUUAUUGUUCUGAUUUUAGUCCCAAGUCUCUCACCUUAUGCAGUUUAAUUUGCUCUUUGUUAAAUGAGCAUCAUACUUAACAAAACUAUUAGCAGCAUAAGCAGUGCAUUCCUGAAAUUUUGAUUAUGCAUGUCUAUUUACACAUAUGUAGUUUUAAUAUCAUUAGCAAUGAAUGUAUAGGUUUAUGAAAACCAUUAAUAGCCAUCUUGCAUUAUUACUCUCAGGGCAUCUGUCUGAAUGCAACAGAAAGGUACAUCAGGAAAUUCAAAAGACAGAAGAUAGAAACAAGUGAUCGUAAUGAAGAUGGAAAAAAUAUCAACAAAAAUGAAAUGGCAUUAAAGAUAAAACAUGAAAGAUGCAUGCGCUCUACUGGUACAAAUGAAGAAGGCCGUUUAGUCAACUGGAUGAGCAUGAAUGAGACUCAAUUUUCGCACUUUGAUAAGAUUAAAGAUGGUGAAUGUGCUGCAGAUUGUGAUGAUGAUACAUAUGAAACCGAGAAUGAAGAUGAUGAUUGUUAUGAAGAGGAUGAUACUAAGGAAAAUGACGAGAAUAUUGGAAGCACUAAUAAAACAAAGGAACUGCUUCUUGAACAAAGCUUCCAUCCAAGUGCUCAGAGAGAGCCAAUAGGUCCUCAUGGAAGCCAAGUAUCAAAUGAAGGUACAAUCGAGAAUCGAAAACCACCUGAUGUAGAAGCAGUGCACAACCAAGGGAAUCCAAGAAAAGUUAAUAAGGAAGAAGUUAUAAAAAUUGGAGAGGGCAAGGCACCAGAAGAGAUUUUUAUCUCCAGGAAGGAGGUUUUUAGUGCAGGUUCUGGAAGCAUACCGGUGAAUAAAAAGCCUGCAAAGGUUCCAUUCUGUCCGAAAGAAGUAAAGAGAAUUCUUGAAUCAGACUCCCUGUUAUCGAAAAAUGCUCAGUCCCACACCAUUAGAAAAAUCGUAGUCUUUGCAUCUCUUGGUAUAAGGCAUGGAUGUGAAGAUAUGUAUGAGUUAGACUUCAAUCAUUUUAGCAUUUUGAGGAAGGGGGAACCAUAUGUAUCUCCAAAGAACCCUGGGGUAGGCAUUUUGCAAACUUUUUGUUAUGAUUUGCUUCAACAAGAUAGUUUAUUAGGCAUUAGCUAUUGAGAGAUUUGAGAUAAUUUUUACUUUUCAUGUAUCCUGUCUUACUCAUGAGUUAAAUACGCUACUCGAUCAUUUAUUAGCAGGAGCAUGUGCUAUAUGAGAACCCUGGAGUGAGGAGGAAAGUUUUCUCUCCAAAUCGUCAGAACCCAACACUGUGCCCUGUUCAAAUUCUCGAGGAGGAAAAGGCUAUGCGUCCGUCUGAUCCUAGCUGCCCCUCAUGCUUGUUCUUAUGCAUCAAGUAUGGUGGGAGGACAAGAAAUCUUCCCCAAAAUGAGUAAGUACUACUACUACUUUCCCAAUUUUUUCAUUUUUAUACGUACUAUAACUGAGAAGAGGCAAUGAAAUUUCUUUUUAUAGUCCUGAAUUAUCAUGCCUUAAAUCCUUACCUAAACAAACUUGACCAUCUUUACAGCUAGGGAAGCUUGUGUCUUCAGUCAGGCCUUCCAAAAGAACUGAGACGUUGGUCAUUUGAUUGUAACUUGUUAAUGUUGUGCCCUUCCCUUAGACUAACCUACAAUUCUGAUUUUUUCCAGAUAUGUCAGGCAGAGAAUGGGAAGAAACAAGCUGAAAUCUUUUGGCCCUCUUAUGUGUCAAAUGGCAAUGCUAGUCCAUGUUCGCAGCGGGAGCUUCUUCUUCAAGGCCCUGGGCAUCACUCUUUUGUUCAUGGCUGGUUUUCCAAAUGACCUUGUCCAAAGGGAAACAAAGUACCGAAAUCUAUACUUGCUGCAAAAAUAUUACAGGUAUAAGACGUUAAAAGUCGUUGGACAUGUAAAUUGGUAAAAUGCCUCACACGCUGAUUAAACUUACCAAUACCCUAACCCUAUGCAAUUCACCUAAACGGCUUUGUGUAAUAUUUUAAGCAAGCAGCAUAAUUGUAAGAUGGUCAUACACAGCAUUUUAAGCAGUCCCUUUUUCUAAAAAUUUGUGUGUCCUUUAGAAGCAAGGUGAUUGAUCCCUAAACAAAUGAAAAUCUCUGUAGAUUGCUGUGUUACAUCAGGGCAUUAAACUUGAGAUGUAAUCUCCUUAUUUCUUGCUUUAACGCACUCUUCAGCCCGUGGCCUAGUUACUCUUAGCAGUAGAUUUUUAACAGUUUAAUGACUUCACAGUUCACACGACCUUGCUGCUGCAGGACAGAUGAUGAUGCUGAACGAGAGGAAUUAUUUCUUCCACAUCAGGCAGCUUCUGAUACUGUUAGUUCUCAACUCUUAAUUGUUCUCUUUAUUAAGAGUUGUUAAACAGUUUCUCAAUAAGCUUCUUGCUUUUCCAGCAGGCCAGUCUUCGUUCUCAGCAGUUGAUUGCAAAGACAACUUCAACAAAAUCUAAGGUCAGGAAACAAUCAAAAACCACAAGUAAGCCUCAAAACAUGCCAAGAUCCUCAAUUCAGCAGCCAGUACCUUCAACCACUAUGCCUCCUAUCCAGUUUGGGCUGAUGGGCUAUGCGUCUAUUCAAGCUAAUGCCCUGGCAGGAUUUCAAUCUAUGCCAUCUCAGACUCAUGCAGAUACCCCAGUGAUUACCAGUUCUGACACCAAAGUCUCCUACCCCAAUCAAACCCCCUAUCAUAUGUUCCCACCACAGGCCACAAAUACAUUCAUGCCUAUGUUAUAUUGGCCUCCACCAAAUGCAUUUCCUCCUGGUUCCUACCCAGCCCCAUAUGGUUACCAAUCUUUUCCAUUUCCAGCUAAUGCAAAUUAUGUAUCCAUCCAUCCACAAACAUACAAUAAUAACCUUCCCUCCUGCAGUCCUUUUAUCCCCAAGGUAGUCGAAGCUACUGCAAAGAACAAUAACGUGGCCUUGGAGGAAUCUGAUAGUGACUCAGAUAGCAGUUCAAGCAGCACAUAUCCGAAAGAGGCAAUAGCAAGUUGCAAGUAGUCUAAUUGAAUUUUUGUAAAUGAGCCUCAUUGGAAAAUAAACUUAGUUAAAGGAAAGCAAUCUAAUGCCUACUGGGGCAAAUGUAAUUUCUCGCUCCUAAGUUUUUAGAGCCUCCAGUCUUUGCAUCAGUGAAGUAUCUAUAUGAAUUAUGAUCUCAACUUUUGCAUAUAUCCGAAUAUCAUGGUCUGUUUUCAUCAGUAGCUUAAAAUUUAAAUCAAUAACAUAACUAUGUUGAAAAUGAAAAUACAAGACGAUUGCUUAUAAUCACUGAACUUUGUAAGAGGGACAGCUACAUGACCACUGUUUGUGAUCAUCAGAGCACUAUUCUUACUUAACUGCUACAAUGUUCAUAAUAUUUGUUUCCACAAUUGCAUUCCAAUGGAAUAUUACUUUCAAUGUGGAAAUGCAACAUUAGAAACUUAAAAAGGAAGGCAACGCCUUCCAAAGUUGAAGCGGAAAUUUUCCCAGUGAGCGCAUUGUGAGUACAAAAUUCAUAUUUCACAUCUCUUGCAUUCUCUCUUUGACCCUGAGUGAGUUUUUUGCACAUUGCUCUACUACAUUCUGGCUGCGCCUAUGCAAGAGGAUUAUACGUUUCUCCACCUACCGAAAGAUAAUAGCUUAUUGCAUUAUAGAGCUAUAUUUGCUUACAUAAAGGCACAUUUUUUUUUGACACGUUGCAUAAAGGAAUCUUAUCUCUCUCGUUCUUUAUCCUUUUGCUGAAUUAUUUGCCAUGUCCUUUAGCUAAAUCUGGGGACCAAUUCAAAAACAAAAAAAUAAAAAGGGACUCCAGGGACACGUAGGUCACUUGAAUACGACACUACCCCACCGCUAGGGAUGGGGGUCCUUGUCGGUCUUCAACUCCGUUGGCAUCACGAGAGUCUUGAGAGUCAGAAAGAAGUUUAUUGCCAUUGGCAUGAAUCAUCAAUUAUCAUCAUUAUACAAAUCCAUGCACCAUACACCAUCCCUGCAUACAUACAUACAUCCCUCAUCUACCACUGCCAUUACUGAAUAUUAAUAACAUCAAGCUCACGCCAUCGAGGAAAAGGAAAGCCUAGGCUUAAACAUUGGACGGUACAUCUAAGGAACAUAAUAGCAGUAAUACGAACAUCUCACAGGAAACAAACCGAUCUAGAAAAACCAUCUUAUUGGGAGCUCAUCUCACACUCUUUUCUUCCUCAUAGAAGAAACAAGGAAGAAAAAUUUGGAGCUAUUAACUUGUUGUAGCUAAUACAGCUGUCAGCUAGCUAGGACUUGUCGUGGAGCUUGUUGGCAAGAUUGCAAACCUUUCGGAUCUCACCCUUUGUACCUGUGAGAGGGUUGUUCUCAGAAAGGAGAGUAAUGGCUCUUGAAAAUUCCUUGAAGAAGUAGUCUUGACUCUUGGCCAUCUUCUUAACAUAAGGUCUUGUCCUCUUGUCGGUGGCUAGCUGAUGAUCAACCAUCAUCAAGCCCUUGUUGUCCAAUAUGUUCCUAUAGUAGUUGUUGUCCAGCACCAUGGGUGUGCCACGGUCAUUCCUCACAUACUGAACAGCCUUGGGGUCUGGGAUUGCAUCAGGACACUUAUGGAGCAUAUGCGGAACAUGGUCAGGGUUCAGUGCAGGGUCAACUUCUGGGUACAGACGGUGCACCAGCUUCACACAAUGAGUUCUGCCAACACUGUGAGAUCCUGAUGAAAUAGACCAAUAGUAGUAACCAAGACCUAAUUAUUAUUAUUAUAAAUAAUCUUAAAUUACUUCUUUUUAAAGUUUAAGAAACUCAGUCGUUGUAUGCUUAAUAGUCGUAAUUGAAGCAUAGAUUAAGGGGGGAAAAAAAAAUUACCUAGCAGAGCAACAAGUCCAGGGGCGUCAAUGCCAAUGGCUGCAAACCUCUCAAGAACAACAGACAUGCUGUCGUUGUGAUCUGGGAGAUACUGCUCAAGUAUCUCUGCUCUGCUUUUUCUACCAUCUCUUCUUCCUGUCUUGAGAGGAAUGUAAGGGCCUCCAAGCUGAAACAAGUUUCAGACACCAUCAGAAAAAUCUCAUACCCAUUGUCCAUUUGGAGAUCUAGUGAAAAUUUUUUUAAAAAAAAGUGUUUUUUUUUUCUUUAAAUAAAAAAUAAAAUACAAAAAUUGAGUGAUGAAAUGGUGGUUAAUUAAAGAAAAAAAAGUGUACCGCAACAACGCCAUCUCUACCGGACAGGACAAGAAUAUCAGCACAGGAAACAACACCAGGGCACUCUCUUUCAACAGCUUCUUUGAUGUUCUCAAUGUACCUGAAGUUCCUCAUACCAAAGCUCCUGUCCAUCUCCUUCUCAGACAAGGUCUUUCUUGUCGAGUCCAGAAGCAGUGAAGCAUCACAAGACUAUGCAAACAUGCAAGGAAAAGGAAGGGUGGGUGGGAAGCAAGCAAUUAAUUAGUAGCAUAUAUCUCCAGAGCACGUAAAAUAAUGUAAUAAAUAUUAAAAAGAGUGCAUGUAUUAUAAUUAGUAAUAUAUAUGAUAUAUGAUAAAUUAAUUACCUGGACAGCACAGUCAUGGAAAAUGUUUCUAAGCCAAGAAAAUGCAGUGUUCUUGUGGCGCUUGUACAGAAGCUUAACUUGUUCCCUGAUAAUGUCCUCGGCCUGAGGGCAUGUAUCCUUGUAAAAAUUCAUAACAAGACCUGGGUCCUCUUCAUUUUCUGCCAAAGCAGACCUCAGAGACACAGCUGAGAAGGAAAGCAAAGCUAAAAGCAAGAAGACAGCUUUCGUACCCAUUUUCUCUUCUACUCUUCACUCACUAAAGGUGACCAACCUUGGUUUAGAUCUCUCUUGAUCCUUGGCAAUACCUCUCUUAAAUAAAUAAUGAAGUGAGGGCAACUUUGGAAUGGAUAAUAAUAAAAUAUGACACAGUUGGGAUGGUUAUAAAUUUAAUUUUUUUCAUUUAUUGGGGUGAUGACUCAGAUGCUUUUGACCAUGUGUAACAUUUACUUUUAACCUCAUUUUGUGUCGAGGGUUGGGAACCCCUUGUUUUGAAGUGAACAGAAGGUGCUGAAAGCAAUAAUGACUCACAAAACUUUGCUGUUUUGGCGUCAAUAAAUUGAGUUAGGGUCUCGCUAGCACUUGAUCCUACGGUCUUAGAUGCAUGCUCAUCGAUCCAGACCUAGACUAGAACUAGAAGUUCUCGUGAGGAACCUUACUAAAAAACAAAAUGGCAUGCAUGAUGAUUAAGAUUUCGGGCAGCAGCGGGCAGUGAGUGAACAUCAAUAUAUGGGAUGGGUCCAAAAACAUUUAUGACUCUGCCGUUUUCUUUCUUUAUUGGAUUGGGACUUGGGAGCAUGAUCAGCCACUAGCCAGCCAUACAAAUUGAAAUUGUAAUUGUAAUUGGAUUGCUAAUUCCACUCUUGUUUUCCUUCCGCAUUCCUGCGACCGACACUAGUUGAAACAUAACAAAAGACACAACCGAGAAAAGAAAUAAAAAAAAAAGAAGGAAAAUUUGUGAUGGGAAUGGAGGUUGAAACAAUAAAUUCAUCCAUGGUCAAUAGCUAGCUGCUAGGUCUCUGGAUUUUUUUCUUUUUAUUUUUUGCUGGAAUUUAUUUGUGGAAGCAGCUUAAUUAUAUGUUAAUGAAUAAGAGUUAGUUCAUUGAUUAAAAAAAUUGCUUCUUGUGAGGGUAUUGCUUAAAUUUUGUCAAAGCAGAGGGAAAAAAAAAAGAGCAGCAAAAAUAAUACCAGAAAAAGGUGAACAAAGCAUCUCUAAUUAUUUUCCCAGUAUGUAGUAAUUUUGGGUACCUUGAAAGGACCCGCUAACCAACCAUUUAAAGAUACUUAGCAGAGGGCCGUGACUAGAACUUUUUUUUUUUUUCAAUAAUUUUGGCAUUGCUGUUGUCUAAUGUUGCCCAUUUAUGAAAGCAACAAAUUUCUUGUGAAAAUAUUAUAUAGAAAUGAGCUUUCAAUUUAGAAGUGAGAUGCAAAUGCACAGCUCCAAUGAUGAUAUAACAUACCGAUAUUGCCAAAUUAGUAGAUAAGAAGUUCUUAUCUCUGUGCCACUCAAUUUAAUAAGCCAAGGGGGGUAAAAGGGUUUAUUAAAUAUGAAGUAACGUAAUGAAGGCAUAUGGAAUCCGAAUUGUUUACAAGGCAAUAAUACAUUUUUCUAUAGACUGAUUUGGAAUUAAAGAAUGACAAGUUGUUUAUUCGGCUUAACUACGGCUUUGACUUAAUUUCGGAGCCAAGCUCUCUUCAGUUACCCGCAAUGCCCUUCACGAUGCUGAUUUAGUUUACAUUGGAGAUGAAUUAAUGAGCCUCUAAUUUUAUUGGUUGUUAAACUAAUAAUAGCCCAAUUAUGUUCUAAAACUGAUAUCAAGAGAGAGGACAUGCUCAAGUUCUCAACUCGAUUGUGGUGGUAAGAUGCUAAGUAAGUUGGGUUCACCACUGAAAGUUGAUGGAGUUUUUUAACAAGACGGUAUUUCCAAACGGCAAAGCGGCGUUAGGGUAAAAAUAGUGAGCCGAGUCAGGUGGAAGGAAGCCAACAAAACUGGCCACCGACACUUGAGUAUUCCCUCCUACUCGCUGUAGCACUAUUACAUCACCAGUGCUGUUUGAUUGACAUGCAAUUCUAAAAUCUUUGCCCCGACCCUACUCCGUGGCUAAUAUCUUAAUCAACCUUGGAUUAUUUUUUUGGACUCCAUUAAUUCGUUGCCUCUUUUCUGCUUUGAAUAAAGUGCUUCAUUAAAAACCUUUUUCUUUAUUAAUAGUUAAUCAAUUAAUUAAUAAUUUCUAGUAUAGAUAUGCUCGAAAGCAUGAAAUCGAAUCACCAUUGCAUAGAGAUCCACAAAUAUGUAUUAAUUAGUCAUUUAAUGUAAAACCACGCCUGUUACUCAUUUUUAAUAAAAUUGUUAUUUCUCCUAUACAUGGACAUUACCUGAUGAUAAGUCACAGCAAAUGUAAAAAAACCCGUGGGCCAUUUAUUCUUUAAAAUAAAAAUAAAAUAAAAACAGGGGUAAAUCACGCAAAUUAAUUCAGGUAUAAUUAAAUAACUAGCCAAAGGGGAAUAUUUUCACAUGGACCAGGACCGCCCUGAGGCUUCGAGGAAAGUCCAAAGAUUAAAUUCUUCAACACACCCCCGCUUUCUUUAGUCUUUACGAAGUGGAGGCAACGAUGAUGAUCACACUGUACGCACCAAUCAUAACUUGUCUAUGGAAGCCACACAAGUACAAGUGGGCAGCAACAAGAAAAACUUCAACAUUACAUAUACUCUUUUCUAAGUGUUACAAACAAAAUUUUCUUUCGUAACAGUUGUCAUUCAUGAUCAUUUUUGGCUUAUCAUUUUUACCAGUUGGGUCCUAUAUUCCAGCAUUCUCGUCUGCGGGACCCAAAGGAAUUGCAGGCUCUCGAUGAUACCUUUGCACUGCGAUAUCAUGACAAUGGUGGAUCCGCUGAGGACUUCCCAUGUGAAAAUAACCCCCAGCUCCUUUUAUUUCACAACAUUGUGCUUGACAGGCAGACUCAUUCGUUAUCCACAAGUAACUGCAUGUUUCAUUUUAUGUUUGGAUCUGUCUGCAUCCAACAUCUGCAACAAGAUGGCGAAUAUGGGGUGCAUACCAUUUAACUCUUUCAAUAUGUUCAAUAGUAACUUCCCAUCUAUGACCUGCAAACAACCAAUGUUGCCCUAGGUAUCACAAUCUCCAAGCCAUGGUGGAAGUGACCAUAAAAUGCAACAUUUAACAUGUUAGAGGAGUCAUGAUAAUAGUACCUUCAGAUCUAGCAAUUUCAUAUAUUGAUUUUGAUACAUGUUCAGCCCACAACUUCUCCUCAGAAUCCUUCACAUUCCCAUGCACAUGUAAUGUUCCCCCCUCACUCCUGCAUUAUCAGUUCCUAAUUAAAAUAGAGACAGGAAAAGUGGGUAAUAGAGAAAUAUGGAAACCUUGAAACGACUUUAAAGAGCUCAAAAAUGUUUAAUUGCAUAUUCAGAUCAAGAUAUUUAUAGUUAGGAUACAACACCUUAAUGCCUGUACAGCAGUAACCCAGCUAUUCUCACUUGUUGGAAUAAGACCAAGACAGACCCGAUUGGCAACUCCCUGAAAGGACAAUGAUUGUGGUGAAUCACUCACGGUAAUCCUGAGAUUAAAUGACAUGCUACCUAGGCUAUAUGAUCCAAUUGAACAAAACCAGAAUGCUAUUCAACACAAGAAAAUCUGGGUCUUCUACGUUGAAAGUUAAAAUCAGGACCUAGUGUCUGCAAAUGUAAGACCAAUCUAAACUAAAUCCAUACAAUUUCAUAGAGGAUUUUGACAUGGCACCCAUCCAUUAAUCAGCCCCGACCUUAUACAUUAUUAGCAGACAAUCUUCCAUAACCAAGUUGUUGUAAGCAUAGUCGAUCCAUGGAUUACAAAUAUUUCUAAUCAUUUUUCUCAUCAUCUUGUUAGGGCCUGGAAAGAAAUUAUUCCGGUUUAGCUAGUAAGUGUGAUUAUAGAAUAAAAGUAAUACACUAUUUAACAGAGAAUAAUGAACAUACUUUUGGGGCUGUAAACCGGUUAUCCCCUUCAAGUACAAUACAGUGAUCAGAAACAGAAUUGGCCUGAAGAUUAUAUUUAAGUGCCUCAACAGCACACGGAUUCCAUUCACAAGCAUAAACUAGCCUUGCUUUCGCCCUGGUUAAUCAACAUGAUCAUACAAAAUAAACACCAGCAAAAUAUAAGAAUGAUCAACCAGUUAAAAAAUAGUAAGAAGCACAAUGUAAAUACCCGUAUUAAUUAAAGCUCCUGGAUCAUAAAGUUUCAGAAAAAUAUGUAUCUAUGGGAACCAAAAAAGAAAACAACAUUGCUUAGCCUGUCCCUAAUCACAAUUAAAUAUUACAUUGCUGGAGACAAAUAAGAAAACUCUAUUUGUAAGCAAUAACCUCCCAACUUCCAUCACCUUAGAUUCAACACAUGAGAGAUGUCUGGUCAUAAAAGACUGAUGAUAUGAGUUCACCAAAACUUAUAAGUGCGUGUAUGGUACUGUGGGAGAGAGAAGCCCUAAGUUCACUGAAAUUAUAGAGCUUAGCAGUAAUGAAGGACUGAGACAACAAUGAUUAUACCAUACCUGACAAGGAAUGGCAGCACAAAAUAUCCAAUACCAGCAAACAGAUCCACAAUAACUUCAUCUUUACAGUCUAAACGGGCCAUACGAAGCUUUUCAGAGAGAUUUCCCCAGGAGAACAUGCACUUGGUAGCAUCAAAGGAAUAGAGAAUACCAUUCUCACAAUGUUUGACCCAACCAUUAUCUCCAACAAGAAUCUCCAAAGCACUAUCCCUCGUUCCAGUCGGUGCAACUCGACCCUUAGGAAGUUUCAACAAACUGAUGUAAUGGAUAUAGGAUCACAAAAGUUCAUAACAGCAAUUAGAGGCACAAAGCAAUUUUAGUGAGUAAAUUUCACUAGAUUUACUAUGACGUACCCUAUCUGAACACAGUUUAUGACUUUCUGGCUUCCUGAAUUUUUAUUUACAAUAUAAAGGAAUAGUUGAAUAACAUAUCAUAAUUUUUUAAGCUGACAGCAAAAGGUAAAAUUAUAUCAAUGCCAUUCUCAUUUAUUAUGUACUUUGAUAAGUUCAAGAAAUGCAUAUAGAAAAGAAUGUGAUGUGAAUUUAGAAAUGAACAUGAUUUGGAAAAAUGCAUUUAAAUCACUUCAAAGGCAGGCAUCAGCAAGCUCAGCAUAAGCUUUUAUGUAAUACAUGCAAACAGCUUACUUGACGAGCAAGACGAGAAGUAUUAAGUAUCUUGGCAACAGCAGGCCAGAGCUCGCCGCCAAUUGAGUCCCACACUGGAUCCUUGAAGGAUGUCACUGGAAGCACAACAAUAUCCCCCGACCGUUCCCAUCUGAUGGAGACAAAAGAUGUUAACAAGUCAUGGCCAUUAGAUCCACAUAAAGAACCAUAAAUUUUUGAGAGAAUGACCAUAUGUCCCAUCUUAAGUAGACAUACAACUACCGAAGAAGCAAAGUUAUGAGGAACAAACCUAGAUGGUAGCUGCUCUAAAAGCCUAGCUGACAGACCUUUUUGCUCGAUCAAAGAGGCCACAGCUUCAGUCAUUGCUUUAAAGGGAGACUUAGGAGCUCUUUUGACUUCAACAGCUUCAUCCAUCUGUUUAGUGGCACCACAUUCCUUAAGAAAAUGCAAGGCUGUUGCACAGGAGGUUUCAUCGAGCAACACCCCUCCUGUAUAUGGUUUAGACAAAUCAAUAGUAUUCAAACCUUCUGAUUCACCUCCAGAAUGAAGCUGCUUUUCUUGGAAUAUAGCACAAAAUUUUUCAGUCACAGGAAAACAUAUACGUUUUCCAUCCUCCUGCUGAUGAGGCUUCCUUCCAAGAUCUAACCAUCCAAACUUCUUCAAAAUGUCCUUCCCAAACUUUGCAUACUUUUUAUCAAGUUCCACUACCCAGUGUGAAGCAGCCAUCUGAUGCCCAUCAUUUACAGGAUGUUUAGCCUCAGAAUUGAAGUCAGAACUUUCAGUUAAAGUCUGUGUGUUCCCGAGUUCUAAACCUUGGAAGUUAACAUUCUUUUCUCCUGUUACCCCUUCAUAAUGGUGAGUGACAAGCUUUUCUCCCAUCUCAGGAGGUAUGUUACAGUCAUCUAAAGACAUAAGUGGUACAGAGGACAAGUUGAUUUUCACUGGCUCACUGAACUUUGUUCCAAAAGCAUAGCAAGCUGCACCACCACCAAUCAUAAUAAGAUCAUCGUCAACAACGUUGGCUGUAGACCGUACAAAUAAUUCUUUGCACACAUAAUUGAGCUUCACGUGUUUCCAGAUAUGGAGCUGGAGAUCAAGUAAUGACAACUCUUGAUAAUUUUGUCUAACUGGACAACCCCCAAAGAGUCCAAGAUAAUUUUUGUAAAGGAACAUUGUGUGGGAGAACCUAGCAUGUGGACUUCUUGCUGCUAUAUCUUCCUUCUUCCAUAAGCAUGUGUGAACAUCAAAAGUGUAUAAGUCCCCGAGGGCUUUCUCCCCAUUGUACCCUCCAAACAUGUAUAACCGAGAACCAUAUGCCAACAUUGAGUGAGAAUGACGGGCGCAUGGCCCUUCCCCAUUAAUUAAUAAUUCCUUCCACUGCAGGGUAUCAGUGUCGAGCACAUGCAAAGAUGAAAAAAUUGUAUCAUUGUUAAGUCCGCCAAAUACAUAUAUCUUUGAGCCUAUAACAGCUGCAGCAUGUCGAUGCCUGUAUAGAAUACAUAUAAAAACACAUAUGGAUAAAAAAUUAAGAACAAAUUGGUAUAGAUCAUAAUGUGGACAAAAAAUUAAAUAUCAAUAAUGAGAUAUGAAAAUUGAUGAAGUAGAAGGAGGAUGUACUAAUCAGCUUCCAAGUACCAAGAUUGAUAAUUAUCUCUAUAAUAAUGUAUGUAGCAUGCACUAUUAUGCCAAAACAACAAGCAUCAAACAGAGGUAGGAGCAUAAAUGCGAUGAAGAAAUCACCUGGGCUGAAAGACACUGCCAGAACAUUCUAAUAAAGUCCAUUUACUCUUAGCCAUAUUGAAAACCCACACAUCACUCAGUAUGUUCAAAGGAUCAGCCCUGCCUCCGAUAAUAAACAUGUGGUCUCCAAUCAAAGAAGAUGUGUGACCCAAGCGUGGAGAUGGACUGCCCUCAGUGUGAAUAGCUUUUAUCGUUCCUUGUAAUGGAUCAAGCAGAAAAAGAUCAUUUCUACGUGCAUGUCUUCCCAUACCCCCAAAACCACCAAAUACAAGAAUCUGAGAGUCAUUGAUCGAGUUUCCCAGGAUGCAAGCAGAAUGACCCCAAAGGAAUAGCUUCUCCACAGGUUCACCAGCAAUCACUAUCCGGCUAACUGAUAGACCGCAACUAGGAACUCCUGGUGGCCCUGUCAAUGAUUCAAAGACUCAAACUCACUGUCACAUUAAAAGGAAAUGUCUCCUGCAAUCAAAUAUAUGUUAGUAUGUAAUAGCACUGCUCAAUGAAUGUACACACGACUCUUAUGGUUCUUGCAAGUUGCAUCUUUGCAUUCUCUUAUACACUCUUUAAGGGUUCUGUUAGUUUAUUAACCUGCGAACUCAAGCUCAAUACAAAAAGAGAAAUACAAGAAUUAAAACACAGAUGGCACAAAGUUAACUCCGGUUAGCAGGCCAGUAGCUUCAAUUUCACACUCUUGCAAGAAUUUUAGGAAGAAACACGCUCAACAUGGGUUAAUGUUUUAAAACAUUUGUUCUUUUGACAAGUUAACCAAAACUCUAGCACAGUCUCCAUGGUUCGUCAUUUCUAUAUCUUAACACUACCCUCAUGUAACACGCAUUCCAUCAAAAAGUCACAUAAAUAAGAACACACUACCAUGAGUGUCUUAGCAAAUUGCAAUUGCAGUGCUGUGAUAUGAAAUAGAAUAGUGAGCACUUCAGUUACUGCUGAGCUUUCAAAAUUCAAAAGUGACGAAGCAGAAGCACGGCAGUUACAAACAAACAAGUCCUGAAUUAAUUAAUCAAAUAUUACCAUCAACAUUCUUCGUUAGAUCCCCGCAAUUCUGGUGUUCGUCCUUGCUAGAAACAGACGAACCCACCAUAAAAUUAAAAGCCUGCAAAAACCCGUCAAUCCUCCUGCUAUUAGCUUCCAAUUUCUGAUUAGCAAUCCCAACAAGAAACCUCACAUAAUCUUGGGACACUAAAACGUUGCCACUCUCUCCUAAGGGAACCUCAAGCCUCAAGGAACACCGUAUCCCAACAAUAACGCGCUUCUUGACACUCGUGACCCCGCUCUCCCUCAACCCAGAAGACACCGCGAUAGAAACCAAAGCCUCAGCCGACUCAACGUCCCGGCACUCCACCGCCACAAUCAACGGCUCGAAGCGGAAAACGAGCUGGUCCCGAGUGGGGGAGGACGGAGUUGUGUGGGUGGGGAAGAAGAGUAGGGAGAGGACGGAGUCCACGUCAGCCGGGUCGUGGGUGAUGAAAAGCCACGUGCCGCCUUUGGGUUUAUUGACGGGGUGGGAGAAAAUGGAGAUACGGCCGGAGCAUGAGCUGGUGGUGUAGUAGUUUGGGUGGCUGUUGAUCGCGUUCAGGAGAGGGAUUAUGGGCGUGUCUAACGUGCCUUUCGGCGAUUUGUCUGUCGCGGACGAACUCAGUGACGCUAGCGUUGCUGCUUUUCGUUGCUCGAACGACAUAUUUUCCUUCUUUCCUGUCUGUGGAGACCGAAUCGCCGAGCGGGCAAAACCCUCGUUAACUCUCACUCUCACUCUCACUCUCCCUCUCCCUCUCCCUCUCCCUCUCCCGGGCGGUACUUGCUGACUGGCGAAUUGAGAGGGGUAAUUUAGACAUUUCGUGUAGCCAUGUUAGGACCCUUGCUUUAUUAAAUUAUAUUGAACAAGGUCACGGCCUAUUCAUUUUCGGCACAUGGGUCCAUAACAAAAACAUAGCCUCCUCUCACUCACCCUCAACUAACCCACAUCGAUCGACGGUCAUUUACUUCCGCGGCCUGAAUAACAGCCCGGGGCGAAGUCAGUCACAUUUUCUAAGCUUUUUUUUUUUAAAUUAAAAAAAAAAUCUUAAACUAAAGUCGUUAAAUCAAAUCAUAACAUUAAAUUAACAAUUUUUUUAUUUCAGAAAUAUCUUGUAAAUUAAGUUCAAUUAAUAAAAUAAAUUAUCAACUUUAAAGUUGUGAUUAUAAUGUCCUGUAGGCACAAUACUUCAUAGUCCAAUCCAUUAGAUGUUUCUAGUUUAUUAAUAUUCAGUCUGUAAAGUACCGUACCCUUAAGUGAACAUAACGGACUCAAACUUUAAAGAAUUAUCUUGUGAUUAUAAAUUUACUUGAGAAAGGAAAAAAAAAUUAAAAAAGGAUGGAGUAGAGAAGAAGUUGAGAAAAAUGAUAGUAUGUGGCAAUUUUGUAAAAUAUAGUGGUGAUAGUUAGCUUCAUAAAUACUAUACUGUAAUUUUGUGGUCAACGUUACUAUUAUGGUAAAAAGAAAUCAAAAUUUUUUGACAAGACUAUCAGAAUGAUCUACUAAUACAAACCUUUACAUAACUAAUUAAUUAAUUAAUUACACUAACUUCUGCAAAUUUAGCAGGGGACAAAAAAAAAAAAAUGAAGAAGAAAGAAACUCUGCAAAGCUGGUGACUGCACCUCCACUUGGAUGUAUCGAGUUAUCUUUCGCCUGAUGAUCAUGAUAUCGUUGAUGGUGAUGAGUUGUAUUUUGAAGUCCAAUACUAAUGAUAUUAAUCACUUUCACCAGCAUUUAAAAAAUAAAUAAAAGAUCACUUUCACCAUAUAAUAAAUAUAUUCAUACUCUUAGUUUAUAUGAUUAAAUGAUUGAAAACUCCAUUUUAACUAACAAUUGCCUAUUUAAUCUAUAAUAAAUAAUUUAAAUUUGUAGUUAGCAUAUAUCAAUUUACCAAUGAUAUUAAUCCAUCUUUUUGGAUUAGAGUUUUUGAAUUAAGGUAACUAAGGGAUAAGUUAAAAAAGUAAGAAAAAUAUGCAUUAUGGCGUACUACAAAAUAAAAUAAAUUUUUUGACACUCCUAAAAAAUCUCUCUUAAAACUCCUUUUUAAUUACAACUACUUAAAUAACGUUAUACAAAUUAAUUCAUUUAUUGUUCCGAAUGGUGAUUCAUUUUAAUACUUAAAUAAAUUAUUCUUUAAACAAAUUUUUUAUACCCACAUAUUUUAUAAUUUAUAUUUAUGUUUUCAAUUUUAAUUGAAUUUUUUAAAGAAAAAUUUAGAGUUAUGAGAUAGAAAUAUUAUAAAAAGAAAAAAUUUAAAAUAAAUUUAAUAUUUUAGGAUUUGUAUAUAAUUUAACAUGAAGUAUUUUUUUUUAGUAAAAUUCUAUAGAAAGAUGGUUAAUUUUAAUAAAUAUGAAUUUAUAUCCCAUUUAUAUUUUAUCAAAAGAUAUUUUAGAAAAUAAAUUCAAAAGAGCGUGAUCGUUGUCGUUGUCUAUUCGAAGGGGCUUUUCGUAUGGCCCACUGAACGAAGUGUCCGUUCAAACCUCUUGGAUCCAAACCCAGACAACCCUAAACCCGUUGAAGUUGAUUGGGUCUUGGCGUGGGGCGUCUCACGCUAACAUGAAGGUGGAUUUCGAAGGGCAAGGAGUUUAGUUAGUUUCUGGCAACAGUUUGUGCGAAAAUUGAAACCAGUUUCCUGUCUUCCCCCCAUAAUCAGUUAAGCCGCUACUCUUUUUCUCUCUUCUCGUUGCAAGAAAGAGGCUUCGAAGGUAGCCUGUUUCAGUCUCUCCGUUUCUUUGUUCAGUUAAAUUUCUGAUUUUUAUUUCUCUCUUCGCUCCUAACUAUUACUUUAGUGUUCUUUUGCACGAGAGCCACUAGGGUUUAUUGCUCUGUGCAAUUGUGAUUUUUGUAUAUUCAGGCCUGUUUAUUCCACUUUCCCAUUAUUAGAAACUUAUACUGAACCAGGUUUGCUCUCUUUUGCUUCUUCAUUGCAGAGACUGUUUCAUUUAUGAAUUGGGUUUUGAGCAUUCUAUGUUUUCAGCCUUUUGUAAUUGUUUGUACAAAAGUAACAGUCCUUUAAGCCGAGCCUUUCACGUGGGUAAGCAAUUUGCUAACCCGAGUACCGAAGAUAUUGUUUUCAGAGCAAUUUGUGUAAAUUUAAGGCAAAGGAAAUGGAAAAUUUUGGAGCAAAUGGCUCCAAGUCUCACAAAUUCAUUGGUAAAUCGUGUUGUUUCCGAGUUCCGAAAGUCACCCAAGUUAGCUUUGGAAUUUUACACUUGGGUUGGAGAGAACAACCGCUUUUCACACUCAUUAGAAUCUUCUUGUGCUAUAGUUCAUUUGUUAGUCAAUUGGAGGAGAUUCGAUGAUGCAUUGUUGUUAAUGGGGAAUUUAAUGAGUGCAAAUAGUGUGUCCCCAUUGGAAUUUCUGGAAGGUUUGCUUGAUAGUUAUGAAAUAUGCAAGGCUACUCCGGCCGUGUUCGAUGCCUUGGUUAGGGCUUGUACUCAAAUUGGAGCCACUGAAGGUGCUUAUGAUGUGAUUCAAAAGUUGAAAGUGAAGGGGCAUUCAGUUUCGAUUCAUGCUUGGAAUAAUUUUUUGAGUCAUCUUGUGAAGUUAAAUGAGAUUGGUAGGUUCUGGAAACUGUAUAAGGAAAUGGUGUCUUGUGGAUAUGUUGAGAAUGUCAAUACUUUUAACUUAGUUAUUUAUGCACUUUGUAAAGAAUGUAAACUAGAAGAAGCAUUAUCAUUGUAUUAUAGGAUGUUGAAGAGUGGCAUCUGGCCAAAUGUUGUUUGUUUCAAUAUGAUAAUUAAUGAGGCUUGCCAGGUUGGUGACCUGGAAUUUGCCUUGAAGCUUUUUCGGAAGAUGGGAGUAAUGUCAGGAGAUAGUGUUUUGCCCAAUUCAGUGACACACAAUUGUAUCAUUAAUGGCUUUUGCAAAUUAGGAAGAGUAGAAUUUGCUGAAGAAAUCCGUUAUGCCAUGAUUAAGGCUGGAAUUGACUGUAAUGUAAGGACCUAUGCAACUUUGAUAGACGGGUAUGCAAGAGGAGGGAGCUCAGAGGAGGCACUGAGGUUGUGUGAUGAAAUGGUGAAGAGGGGCUUGAUGCCUAAUACUGUGGUUUACAAUUCAACCAUUCAUUGGCUUUUUGCAGAAGGAGAUGUGGAGGGAGCUUUGUUUGUAUUAUCUGACAUGAUUGAUAAGCAUAUAUGCCCUGAUCAAUUCACUUACUCUAUUCUCACAAAGGGGCUUUGUAGAAAUGGAUGUGUGAAGCAAGCUUUCAAAUUACAUAACCAAGUUCUAGAGGAACACAUGGUAGGAGAUGCGUAUUCAUACAAUAUCCUUAUCAAUUAUCUCUGCAAAAGUAAUAAUUUAGCAGCAGCAAAGCAGCUAUUAAGCAGUAUGAUUGUUCGUGGCUUGAUUCCUGACAUUAUUACUUAUGGUACUUUGAUUGAUGGGUACUGUAAGGGAGGCAAUAUAGAAGGUGCAGUUCAGGUUUAUGAAAAUAUGAAAAAGGUGGAGAAAAAACCCAACUUGGUAAUAUACAAUUCCAUUAUAAAUGGCUUAUGCAAGGAUGCAUCUCUAGAUGCUGCAAAAUCUUUGUUAGAAGCGUCGCAGCGGAUAGGUUUACUUGAUGCCAUAACCUAUAACACCUUGAUAAAUGGAUAUUUCAUCAAUGGGAAGAUCGCCGAGGCAUUUGCUAUGUUUUCUGAAAUGAGAAAUGUGGGGAUUGCAGUUAACAAAGUUGGCUACAAUAUAUUGAUAAACUUUUUAUGUAAAUUUGGGUGUUAUCAACAAGCAAGAGAGCUUAUGAAGGUGAUGAUUCUGCAUGGCAUUAUUCCGGAUUAUGUAACAUACACUACUCUUGUUACCAGGUUUAGUAAGAAUUGCAGUCCAGAGGAAGUGAUUGAAUUGCACGACGACAUGGUGCUCAGUGGAGUAAGUCCUGAUAAUCAAACAUACAAUGCCAUAAUUAGCCCUCUUCUUGGAGAAAAAAGUGCUGAGGAUCAAGUUUAACUGGAUUUGCUUUUCAAAUGUUUUGCGAUUUAUCUAAUUCGUGGGAAAGGAAAAAAUUAAUAUUGCCAUUUAUUUUGUUUUCAAUUGCAUUUAAUUAAAUGAAUAGAGAUCUUUAAACUCAGAUUUUUAUAUUGCUCAUCUCUCUUUUUUAAAAAAAAAAAAAAAAAACCCUUUUCCCCUCUUUUUUCUGUGCCUGAGAGUAUAACUUUAUGACUGCAUGGUUGCUGCGCCCAUAUGAUCCAUACAUAGUUCUUAAUUUUGGAGUGGACAGAUAUCCUGCAAGGUGCUCCUGUCUGUUUACUAAUGUUGGAAUUGACAAUCCCACGAAUAAUUGUGUCGGUGUCAAAUUCACCCUCAUUUUUCUUCAUUUUGCAACUUGUUUUUCAUUUUCCAUUAAGGGAAGGAUUGAUAUAGCAACCAUUGCCAUUUGCAAUGAGAAAAACAGAAAAUAUAUCAAAUGGCAGAAUUUUUUCUCAAAGCGGCUGGGGGGGGGUGAUCAGGUAAUUAGAUAUUUCAGAUGGGCCCCACAAUGAAAUAUUGAUUAAAAAAUAAAAAUAAAAAUGAAUUGAAUCAAAUUCAUGUCCCAUGCAAUCUCCAACGGUCAAAAUCCUUAUCUAAAAACCUGAUCCACUUCCUCCAUCUCCCUCCACUCGUUCCCUCUCAUUUCCUCCAAGCCAGAAGAAGCAUACAUGAAAAAAAGAUAAGACUUCAUGAAACAAACACCUAAAACAAACCAAGCCCACAAAGCAGACUCUCUCUUUCCCUUCUCUUUGAGUGCUUAGACUCUCACCUUGAGCUCCAACAAUCCGUUAUCAGUUAUCACCAUGUCUUGCUCAAACCUACCUGUGUGUCGUGACACUUCUUCGCUCUCUUUUGGCUCAUUUCUCAACCCAUUUAGGCCUCCUCACAAUGCAACCCCCAACAACCCUUCUAGAUCUUCAUCAGUUACUCCAAUUCAUUGUGGUCUCCGCGAGCUCAGAGAACGUAUUGAUUCUGUAAAGAACACACAGAAGAUCACCGAGGCCAUGAAGCUUGUGGCCGCUGCUAAAGUCAGAAGAGCUCAGGAAGCUGUUGUCAAUGGCAGGCCUUUCUCUGAAACUCUUGUUGAGGUUCUUUACAACAUCAAUGAGCAGCUUCAAAAUGAAGACAUAGAUGUUCCUUUGAUCAAAGUUAGACCUGUCAAGAAAGUUGCUUUGGUUGUUGUCACUGGUGAUCGUGGUCUUUGUGGUGGUUUCAACAACAAUAUUAUUAAGAAAGCUGAAGCGAGAAUUGCAGAAUUGAAGACUCUUGGACUUGAUUACACUAUUAUUAGUGUUGGUAAGAAGGGUAAUGCAUAUUUCCUUCGUAGGCCUUAUAUUCCUGUUGAUAGAUUUCUUGAGGGAGGUUCAUUACCUACUGCUAAAGAAGCUCAGACUAUAGCAGAUGAUGUGUUUUCACUCUUUGUUAGUGAAGAAGUUGACAAGGUGGAGCUUUUAUACACAAAGUUUGUGUCUUUGGUUAAGUCUGAUCCUGUGAUUCACACUUUGCUUCCACUAUCACCGAGGGGAGAGAUUUGUGAUGUGAAUGGUGUUUGCGUUGAUGCUGCUGAGGAUGAGUUCUUUAGAUUGACAACUAAGGAAGGAAAGUUAACUGUUGAGAGAGAUGUUGUGAGAACUGAGACUGCUUCUUUCUCACCCAUUUUGCAAUUUGAGCAGGACCCAGUUCAGAUUCUUGAUGCUCUUUUGCCCCUCUAUCUAAACAGCCAGAUCUUGAGGGCUUUGCAGGAAUCCUUAGCCAGCGAGCUUGCUUCAAGAAUGAGUGCCAUGAGCAAUGCAACUGAUAAUGCAAUGGAGUUGAAGAAGAACUUGUCUAUCGUCUACAACAGGCAGCGCCAGGCCAAAAUUACUGGAGAGAUUUUGGAGAUUGUUGCUGGUGCCGAUGCUUUAGUGUAAAGAAUUAUGCGGGGCUUCUCACAUCUUACUCAAUUGUCCAUCUUUGUAGGCAAUUUUACGACUGUUUCCCUUAUUGAUUCAAAUAUGCUUGGUUUACCAGGAGUUUAUUCAGAAUUUACACUUUUUCACUGUAAUUCUCAGCUAAUAAACUUUGUCCACAAAUGAGAAACUGGCACUAUAUCUUGCAACAGAAGAGCUUUCUACUUAUAUUUGUAUGUUCUACAUGUUUUCACCCCGGCUAGUUCACUUGUAAACUACUUGUAUAAUUUGGAUGGAUAUGUAAUUCUAGGCUCCCUUGGUCAGCUCUUGGAUUUUGUCAUUGUUACCGUAAGUAAAUCACAGGUAAUUCUUGUUUAUAUUACAUUUGAUUCACUCUAAAAGAUUCUAGUCUGAAAUUGUUCUUGCCAUAUAUAUAUGGGGUGUGUUUACCAAUUGAAUCUGAACAAUGUUAUUAGCAGGAAAUGUCUUCUGCUUCGUUCAAACUUAGACCCAUUUGAAUCAUAGAGAAGGUUGAAACAAAUCGAAGUUCAUUGAUUACUCGAGUAGAUUAUGCCUAGUGUUACGCAUUAUGAGAGUUGUCCGCAACCCUAAUUGGUUAGCAGUAAGUCUGCAAGCGUGAUACGGCUUGCAUAUCCAUAUGAUACCUAAAAGAAAUUGAGAAUGUCGAUGGUAUUGACGUAUGUGAGUAUAUCAAAUUUAGAAUUCUAAACAUGAAGUCAUUUAUGCAAAAUUAAUUUAUUCUUUCUGGUUACAGAAUCAAAUAACACUUGGUGUCGUUCAGAAGGAUCCUAAUCCUUCACGUUAAUGAAGAUGUGCAAACCAAGUCAUCGUUUUCGCAAAAUCAAAAUGAAACGCAAACGAUGCAAUUGCAUGCGCAUGCUUAACAUGUAACACAAACCAGAAAAUUCACAGGAAAAAGGGAGAUAUAAUAGCAAAUUAGCAAAUUGAAAUAAAUAAAUAAAAAAGCUUCAGUAGAAGGAUGGCAAUCAUCUGAUUCUGACCACACACAAGGGUCAAGUUCGAUGAGAGAAAACACAGGCGUAAUAGCCACGAAUUUCUUAGUUAGUGAACAUUGAUGACUUUUGUUGAUUCUCAGACCAAAAAGCGUGGGAUAUUUGGAUCGGCACAAUAUUAUACCUUUGUCUCUUUGUCUCCGCAAGCCGAAGAAUUAUGUGGCCAUACGAACAAGUCAUUGUCGCCCGACUUUGCAGUGAUCUUGUUGUUUCUAAGUCGAUGCAUGCAAGUGCCCCUGGUUUCAAUUACCUAUAUAAACCUCUUCUUCCUCUUUGUUACCACCUGCUUCGUACCACUAGAUUAAUUUUAUUGUGAGUGUAUAUGAGAAAUAGAAAUAUUGUGACUUGUUUUUGUGUAAAAAAGUGGGGUGGCAGUUGCUGAAUAGACAAGGUUUGUCUCAAGUUAAUUUCUAAUAAGGUAAACGCCCCCACAUUUGGCUAAUGCGAAGUUGUUUAUGGGUUUUAUUAAUGCAAUUAAUCGUGUUUAUUAAUGGGUUAUUAUCAAACUUAUUCCUAUUCUUUUUAAGGCAGCAAAUUAGUCCAUAAGUUACCACUUGUCUCAAGUUAGUCUCCGCCGUCCAAGUCUUUUACCUAAAUUUAACGUUAUAUAGUUAGGGUUAGUUUGUUAAUGUUAUUAUAUUAUAACUCUUAAAAUAAUUGUUUGUUAACUGUGCUGCAAAAAUAAUCAAAUGUGACGAGAAUUGGUUAAAAGUUUAAUAAUUUUUUUUAAAAGUGCCAUUAAUUUUGAAAAUAGUCUCAUGUGUUUAGUAAGCCUCACUUUUAAAAUACUCUAAGAACGCAAAUGACUUAAAUCUAUAAAAUUUAUUUACAUGUGCAUUUAUAGAUAUGUGUCUAUGAAAUAAUUUGUUAUUUCAGUAGUAGUAGUAAUAAUAAUAAUAAUAAUUGAGAAGGAGAAAGCAAAAAAGAGAAAUAUUAUUAUUAUUAUUAUUAUUAUUAUUAGUAGUAGAGAGAGAAUGCAUGUUUUAUUCUUGAUAAAUGUCAUAUUUACCACUACAUCCUUGUUAAAUUUUUAAUUUUUCAUUUCAUCUAUUAUGUUAAGAGAUAAUAGAAUUUAUCAUGAAAAUAAGGAUAAAACAAUAAUUGAAAGUGUCAUGUUUUAAAAUUUAAAAUAAAACACGACACUUCUUGGGAUCAAGAAAGAAUGAAAAAAUAAAUACUCUUGUUGUAAUUACAUAAGACUAAUUCUUUUCAUUUUUUUUCUUUUAAUUUCGACUCCCAACUUCUUAGAAAUAUCAUGAAAUCUUUAAGGAGGGGUAGAAUAAUAAAUAAAUAAAUAACAAUUAAUUUUAUAUGCUAUCUCGUAACGAGAAGGAUGAAAUAAAAAAAAAAAAACUAAAAAUGAUUAAGAAAUAAAUAAGGAGUAAGGGCAUGUCGAGUAAAUGGAAUUGGAUAUUAGUGACUAAUUCGAGGCAAGUAGAUUAAUGAUUUAACGUGUUAAGUUCGAAAACUAUAGGGAUGGAUUUGAUAAUAACCAGCUAAUUAUUGUGAAGUUGAUUGAAAAAGAAACUUUUUAUUUUUUUAUUUUUUUAGCUCGGAUUGAAAAAGAAACUUAACGGUAAAUAUAGCGUACGUAGCUCAAUCUUAAAAGAUUUUGAAGAAUACGAGGAACUCAGAAA
rnacentral:lncRNA from 1 species